rnacentral:lncRNA from 1 species
UUGCAAAUAAAAAAGGGCUAUUUAUGACAGGUAACGACAAAUAUAUACAUUUAGAUUGACUGAGGUAGUAAUACGAGUCAUAAAAGUCAUUAUUAUGAGAUGAUUAUAAGAUGAUAAUAAAGUAAGAGAACAAAACGGACCAUGGUUCACGCAAAGCUAUUCAUCGUUUGAAAGACACCGGCUAAUACACGGUGUCAAGUCUAAUAUAUAUAUACAUAUAUAUAUAUAUAUAUAUAUAUAUAUAUAUAUAUAUAUAUAUAUAUAUAUAUAUGUAUAUAUAUAUAUAAAGAACUAUAAGAACUGGAGUGGGUAUUCAAAGAAUCAAAAGUUACACACAGUAUACAUGUACGCGUGCGCAAAUACACACUUGCAUAUUUCUUUAUGGCCGAUUUUUGUAAGAAGUUUGCUUCGCAAUCUGAACUCUGCGCGUUCGAUUCCACUUAUAAACAUCUUCGGCAAGUGUUAUAUAUAAUCACGUGACGGCUACAAAUUGGAAUUACAGAAAUCGUUAGGAAGACCGUCGUGUGUAGUGUAUCUGUCGGGGAGGUGCGCAGUCUGCUCAUGCUAUUUCGUGUGGUUUGUUUCGGUGAUUCCGUUGAUGGUUACACAUGAAGAAUAGUAAGCCAUUUCAAAUGUCAGUUUAGACGAGAAUGCAUUUGUUUCAACUACUGUAUGCGCGUCUAAUUUGACUGUGAAUCAUUACACACACACACACACACACACACACACACACACACACACACACACACACAAAAAUACAAAAUGGGUAUGUAUGUAAAAAAAAUACAAAAUGGGACAAGAACGCAAAACAUCCGGACAGUUAGGUGAUACAAAAAUAGGAAAACAAAACAUCCAGAUAGACGAAACAAGGACGGGUCAUUCGAAGUUUUCUUUCCUCAGUCAAGUACUAGAUUAUCUUCGCAGUUUCGGCUGAUUAUACUUGAGAUUGCUCUAAUCUGGCCAGCCACAAGGAAAAACUAAGCUAAGAGCAUUAGAGCUAAUAUACAUACAUAUAAUAUAAAUUAUAUAUAUAUAUAUAUAUGAAUAUAUACACAUAUGUACAUACCUAGAUGUAUAAGUAUAUAUACAUGCAUAUAUGGGUACAGGACGUAAAAAAAACGCUAACAAAAUGAAAAACGAGAAGAUAAAAAGCAACAAAAACAUGGAAAACGAACUUUUUUUGGACAACGAAAUAAAUAAAUAGAGAAACGAGACAGGCAACAUAAAGAGCAAUCUUUUCAUCACUUGUCCCCUGUUUUAUAUACUCCGAGUGGCGAAGGUUAAGACAAGACGCGACGACCUUAAAACAGUCCUUCCCGCAAAGCAAAUUAAAUAAAAUUUUGAGGUUUUGAGGAGGGCUAAAGUGGUAGCAAAAACAGGACGGCAAGAACAAAACAGUUAAAACAAACGGUGAGGGUUGUUAAGCCAUAACGAUAUUUAUAUUAUUAUAUGAUCGAACGCCACGCAUCCAUUUCCAAGUAAGUUUUAUCUAUUUGUCUAUUCAUCUAUAUAUAUAUAUAUAUAUAUAUAUAUAUAUAUAUAUAUAUACAUACACACACAUACAUACAUACAUACAUACAUACAUACAUACAUACAUACAUACAUACAUACAUACAUACAUACAUACAUACAUACAUACAUACAUACAUACAUACGUACAUACGUACAUCAUAUAUAUAUAUAUAUAUAUUAGUAUUAUUAUUAUCAUUAUUAAGAUGGCUAUUCGCAAUUUACAGCCAGAAGGCAACAAAUUUGGUCGUUACUAAAGUAACGGACGGUGCUAGUCAGCACCACCAUUGCUAGAGAUAAGAGUCAAAACAUCUCUUAGACUCAUGAGAGCACUUUUCUAAUGAGUGACUAGGGAAGUAAACUCCCGACAGCAAGCGAGAUGGAGUCAUAUCAACGCUGAUUUCAGAUUUGAUUAAUCUUCAUGAGUGACCUAUUACCCCGUCGCCGAGAGUUAAAAACUCAACUCUCCUUGUAGGUAUUAUGGAGAACACCAUAGGAAGCAUUGACUGGUUCCGAAAAUAGUUGAAGUGAGAAUUAUAAAUUAUUAAGGUGGUCAUUUACAAUUUACAACCUAAAGGCAACAAGUAUGGUCGUCACUAGAGUAACGGAAUAAUAGGUCGCUGACGAAAAUUAAUCAAAUCUGUAAAUCAGCGCUGAUAUGAUUCCAUCUCGCUUGCCGUAGGGAGCUUGUCUCUCUUGUCAGUUGUUAGAAAAGUGCUCUCAGGUAGCUAAGAGUUGUUUUGACUCUUAUUUCUAACAAUGCUCACUAACAUCCUCCGUCGCUUUAGUGACUACAUUUGAGUGUGUGUAUGUGCGUGUGUGUGAGUGUGUGUGUGUGUGUGUGUGUGUGUGUGUGUGUGUGUGUGCAUAAUGUAUGAUGUGUAUGUAUGCGUAUGAAGUAUAUGAACAUAAAGUCACUCACAGACACUGGACCAGUCAUUUACCGACAUGUGCGCGGACUCACCGCUCAUUCUCUUUCUCUUAUAUGCUACACCUCUCGGAGAUGGUUCAGCUCAUAUCACGUCCACUCGGACCUUUCUUACCUCACCACUUCUCCUUUCAGAUCCUUUAUUGUGCUUCAGAUCUUCAGGGCCCCGUAUAAUGACUAUACACAUCCUUUAUUUGUCAACACGUCCGUCGGCCCUCAAUUCUUUCCCUGCUUAUGUCUUUUCUGAAUAUAUGGGUGCCCCAGACAAAUCUCCUUCCCGAUAAUCAGUAAAAUACUGAAGGACCCGGGUUCGUCUCUCUACUCUUGACGAAAUAUGUUCUCAGAUGGUGCAGAGUGGAAACAUAAACAAGUUUUCCCUUUCGAUGUUCUAAUAUUCUGACGUUCUUUCCUAAUCUAUUACCCAAGAGCUCUACUACAUUUGCUGGCACUGAAAAGAAUGAAAGCUGGCCUAAGGAGGAUCAGAAUGCAACGCACGUUGUACUUAGCAAAUACUGCAAAGCAUUCUAUUUCAUGCUCUAAUGAUUCUUGCUCAUUUUAAAAGCGAAAAUAAGACAAGUUUCGAGCAGAAGGUGAUUUAUUCAAUCAGUGAUAUGAUUACCGUUUCGUUCCAGUAUCUUCUGCCAUCUUUUGGACAAACCCUUUAUUACCUGCUCAAAGAAUUUACUGUGCUUACUGAUGAAAACUCUUCUAGGCGAAUUUUUACAACUUCUUCAGAGUGUCUGUACAUUCAAUGAAUUUUGAAGUGACCGAAACAGGUGGAAAUUUGAAGGCGCAAGGUCGGGUAAGUAUGGAUGAUGUGGUAAAACUUCCAAACCAAGCCCCAGUAAUUUCUGCCGCGUCUGCAAGGAAGUGUGCAGUCUGACGUUGUCGUGAUGAAAGACAAUGCCAUUAUAAUUAGUAAUUACUGGACACUUGUGGUGGCCCGUUGCAUUUAAUUGAUUUAGUCAGUCACAUUACCAAUCCAAAUUGUUGGUUCUGUUUCUGGGAAGCUUCUCAUAACAGACAACACCAUUCAAUCGAUGUGGGACUCGAACAUCAAGUCUGCUGAAAUAACCAAGUCGAUGCAGAUGAUUUUCAACACUCGAUAUGGAUAAUUGGAGAAUAUCUACGAUCAUCUUGGUCGUAUAAUGGGAACUAGUGUCGACUAAGUCCUUCAUUUAUCGCUGUUAAUCUCAUUUGGCCAGCCAGAGGGCGGUGCAUCUUGAACCGAAAAAUUUCCCGAUCGAAAUCUUGUAAACCACUUCUGACACAGACGUUCCGUAAUAGCAUGCUCUCCGUUCAUAGCGCAAAUGUCCCUGAAGGUUUUCUUCGCUUUCUUACCUUUUUUAAAAAAUAUAAGAUAAAGCAUGAGGUGCCUAUAAUAUUGGUUUUGGAUCUCCAUUUUCAAGGUGAUCUCAAGCGCAUUAAAUACAACCUGUCUCGUCACAAGUUCGCGACGAACAAUAUUGAAGAGUCAAGUACAAAAAGAAUGCGCACGCGCAAAGGACAGACUCAAGUUAGCUACUUAUUAGAGUGCUUGAAAUUUAGUGUUAACAAAACCCGUACGAACUUAUCGGCCAAUCCAAUACAUAUACAUACACACACCACACACACACGCAUGUACGCACCCACGCACACACACACGCACACACACACACAUACACACACACACAUGCGUAUGUAGUUAUACGCCAGAACGCCGGCAUAAUGGAAUGGUAAGAUUUCACUACGCAAGCACAUCCAAAAAUGGUGCAUGUUUGGGCUUCUGAUUUUUGGGGCAGCUUGGAGUUGCACCAAGCCGUAGAACGGAUUCGAAACAGUCUGAAAUUGUUUAGAAGCAAUCGUUGUAAGACACUGUUGUGUCGACUCUCUUUCAGUAUUGCAUUAUCGCUAGAACAUAUACAUUACGUAUAAGAUGUGGUGUGUGUAACAUUUUCAUUAACUUGGUCCAACCCGAAUUUAGGUACAAAAAAGGUGCUUAGAAUCGUGUCAGAUGAAUUCUACGUGUAAUUCAAAGUGUUAACCUUUGAAUCUUUCUCAGAAUUACGUUUAGUAUACAAGUUUUUAUCUAUCCAAAUAUUCACAUAUACGCAUGCAGGCGGAUUAAGGAAAAACAUGUACACACGCGCACACACAUGCACAAGCACACGCAAAGCGCAGCUACACCCGUGUGUUUAAGUUCUUGACAAACUGGUGACAUAGCCAAUCGUUAAAAUACAGAUGGAUAAAAGAUUAUCGCAUUGAAAUAGUACUGGAGUUGCUACGACCAGCUAAAUGUUCUGAUGGUGGUGUGAUGCCAUGCGCGCAUUGUGACUUUAAACAGUAAAAUUAAUGCACACACCAAUACAUAUUAGGUAAUGAGGAAAACAGGAAACAAGACGGGAGGAACAAAUUUUGACAAUUAUGUUAUUAGUUUAAGGCUUAAACGGAAGGGAGAGUCUGACGUUUCGGAUCCUAGUCCUUCAUCAGAAUAAAAAAGAGACAAAACAGAAAAUAGGAAAAAUAGAGGAGGAAAGAUGAUGAAAAAGAAAUUCACAUAUACGCAUGCAGGCGGAUUAAGGAAAAACAUGUACACACGCGCACACACAUGCACAAGCACACGCAAAGCGCAGCUACACCCGUGUGUUUAAGUUCUUGACAAACUGGUGACAUAGCCAAUCGUUAAAAUACAGAUGGAUAAAAGAUUAUCGCAUUGAAAUAGUACUGGAGUUGCUACGACCAGCUAAAUGUUCUGAUGGUGGUGUGAUGCCAUGCGCGCAUUGUGACUUUAAACAGUAAAAUUAAUGCACACACCAAUACAUAUUAGGUAAUGAGGAAAACAGGAAACAAGACGGGAGGAACAAAUUUUGACAAUUAUGUUAUUAGUUUAAGGCUUAAACGGAAGGGAGAGUCUGACGUUUCGGAUCCUAGUCCUUCAUCAGAAUAAAAAAGAGACAAAACAGAAAAUAGGAAAAAUAGAGGAGGAAAGAUGAUGAAAAAGAAAGAAAGAGGGAAGGAAAGAAGGAAGAAAAGUGUAGGGAGCCGGGUGCGUAUGCGGUUCUAUGGAGGAGAUGUGUACUUCUAAUUAUAUAUAUAUAUUCGUCUGUGUAUUAUUGAUAUAAAUACACCCACACAGAUAUAUAUAUAUGUAUGUAUGUAUGUAUGUAUGUAUGUAUGUAUGUAUGUAUGUAUGUAUGUGUGUAUGUAUGUAUGUGUGUAUGUAUGUAUGUAUGUAUGUAUGUAUGUAUGUAUGUAUGUAUGUAUGUAUGUAUGUAUGUAUGUAUGUAUUAUGUAUGUAUGCACAAACAAACACAAACAUAUAUGCAUUCAUUGAGUCAUACAUACGCACCAUAAAAUCCAGGAAAAUGUGAACGUUUAUAGUAAAUUAAUACCUAAUUUAUAGCUCAUAUACUCUGACUAUAAAUCCUCAUUUGUACCCAUCAUCAUAGGUGCAUUAGGCUAUGUAACAACAGCUUUUCACAAAAAAAAGAAAAAAAAAAGAAAAAGGAAUUACUAGGUUUUACCGGAUAAAGAGCAUAAGAAACUGACCCGGAUUUUUCAAAUCUAAUAUCUAUUAGCGGAACAAUGAAGAGUUGUAAGACAUUUCAAAGAUUCUCCAUCUGAGCGUCUUAGGAUGAAUAGAUGCACACACUUCGAUGUGUGCUUCGACAGCUCAAGCAACACGCCAAUUCAACCAUAUAUUUACAAACAGAGGGAACUCUUUUAACUAAAAAAACAUUUUAUCGUUUUGUUAGCAAUCGACUUAAACUCUUUUAAGAACUUAAAUAAAUACAUUACAGAAGUUACACACAUACACACACAUACAUAGAAUAUACCGUACACAGUAGAACAUUAGUUUGUCACUUGCGUUGUCUGUCAAGUAAUACCAGCGUAUGUUAGUCUCAGUGGUGUAGUAGAAUCAUCAUAGAAUGUUUUAAAUGCAAAGAAGCUAAUGUAGAAAAAAAUAAUAACAACUAGAGUGACAUCAAACUGAUGUCAUGCAAUGUAGCUGCGAAUUAUGAAUAAAAACAGCUUAGAUAUGAGCUUCUGUUUGGAUUUGAUCCAAACGAUCAUGCGGCCCAGCGUCCAGAGAGUGAGCUGAUUCACGAUGUCCUCCUCCCACCUCCACUUUCCAGCUGGCGCAAACGCACGGGCGGACAGCUGAAGACCUGGGCAACGACGAUAAAGGAGGACCUCUCCGAACUCUUAGGUCCGCAGGUGGUCUGUCUGUGCAGAUGGUACCGCGAAUGGCUCGCUAUCUCCAGUGACCUCGCACAGGACCGUCGAGCGUAGGCGGCCAUGGUUCGUAAUGCCGUUAGGACCAGGUAAGAAGCCGGUUCAACCCAACCUGGGUGAACGCCGUCACAAGUAUAAGUAAGUAAACGAUCUAUCACUGACGUUUUCAUGCUAGUGUAACAACUAUAGAAGAUGUGUGCAUAGAACAAGCCACUAUACUGAGCAUUUGUUGACUUUGAAAAGGCACCUUCUGUAACCCGAAAGUCAUUAAAAAAAACUACGCGUAGACGAAUAGUAUAUAAGGACUGUACAAGCUGUGCACAGACACAAUCAACAAGUUGGAUGUUAGCGAUGGAUGUUAGCGAGGAAUUUGGUAUUCAUCUAGGUUCAGUUCUCAGUUCCCUUUUGUUUAUAGUCUUUCAGAACAAAGUGGAAGUGUUUAAAGCCGGCUGUCUUUGGGGGCUUCUGUAAGCAGCCAACCGAGGUCUGAGAGCCGAAUCUAUUGAAGAAUUAAAUAAAAUAUAUUUAAACGUGAAUGCAAAGUUUAGGAUCGAGAGGUUUUAAUGUUAUCUAUCAAAACAAAAGUUUUAGUUUGCUGGAAAGAAAAACGAACUCUGCUGUCAUAUAUGCUGUGUGAGUGUGUGCGCGUGUGCGUUUGAGUAUAACGUGUAUGUAGAAAUUCAUUAAAAUGUCCCAAUAUAAACUAUGGAUGUACAAGAAAUUCUGUGAAAUAAUUAGCCGGUUCACGGAGGAGGAUUUUAUAUGUAGAUGUUCGGAAUUAGUUAGCAUUAAGAGCUCCACCGAAACAUAUCCAUUCAAACGUACGAAGUAUUACUUAGAUAGGAGUUAAUAGUUACCGAAGGGACCUAAAAGCGAGUCAAAGCACAAGGGAAAAACUGGAGAAACCUGAUGUCAAACAAUUAAUGCUCUCAAACAAAAUUACAAACGAACGCAGCAAGACAAUGCGAUGUGUAAAACCCUGUAAAACAGCCCACAAAGCCAGUAAAAAAAAACGAAGAACACACACACACACACACACACACACACACACACACACACACACACACACACACACAUAAAUUAAUGUACGGCAUUAAAAUGAGAGCUGCUAAUAGUUUCUUGUCAUAGAGACACUGAGAUUAUAAAGAUGUAUAUGACGUGCCUAGCCACGCUAUAUAAAUCUGCUUCAUUUCAGUAUCAUUAUGACUAGAAACUAUUUCUAGCUCUUAUUUUAAAUGCUGUCUACAUUAAAUGAUAGUUAUCUCUCAUUGAAUGGAGUAGAUUUUGUUGAUCCUACGUUAAUGAAACAGUAAACUAUACAUACAUAUAUACAUACAUAUACAUAUACAUACACACACACACAUAUCUAUAUCUAUAUCUAUCUAUAUAUAAUGUAUAUAAUAAAGGGUAGAAUUAAUUAAUCAAUUAAUAAUUAAUAAUUUUACCAAGUAGUUCGGUAAGUUAAAAGAACCAUUAUCGGUAACCCUAUACAAAAAUUCUAUAAUUAUAAGCAUAAUUAUAAUUAGGGUUCAGCAAAAAUUGCUUCACCAAAUACCGAAAUUUAGAAAUAGCAGUUGAAUUCUAAUGGAAUAGUAUUUAACUGCUAUUAUGUGGUGAAGCAAUUUUUACUGAACCCUAAUUAUAAUUAUGCUUAUAAUUAUAGAAUUUUUGUAUGUAUGUAUAUAUAUAUGCCAACCAGUCGCCACCGCCAAGUUUGAUCGCUCGAAACGUAAAAGUCUCUCUCACUUUCCCGAGCGUCAAACUAAUACACCUGCUUGUUGUUCAUAUACCUGUCUUCGUCUUUUGUUUUCUUGUAAAUUUCAACUAUAUAUAUGUGUCACGCACACACACACACACACACUUUUCGGAUGAUUCAGAACCCUGUUAGUGUAUGCUGUUUUUAAUGUGCGUUAAUUACAGAACUAGAGCUUUUAAGCUCUUAUUUCUAUCACUGUAGGUGUUUCUUAACACCCUAGUCACAUUUAGUGAUAUAUAUGCAUGUAUGUAUUCUUUUAUUCUUUUACUUGUUUCAGUGAGUGAGUGUGGCCAUGCUGGAGCACCACCUUCAGCCGAGCAAAUCGACCCCAGGACUUAUUCUUUGUAAGCCUAUUACUUAUUCUAUCGGUCUCUUUUACCGAACCGCUAAGUUACGUAAACACACCAGCAUCGGUUGUCAAGCGAUGUCGAGGGGUGGGGUGGACAAACACACAUACACACAAACAUAUACACACACACACAUAUAUAUAUAUAUAUACGCCGAGCUUCUUUCGGUUUCCGUCUACCAAAUCCACUCACAAGGCUUUCGUUGGCCCGAGGCUAUAGUAGAUGACACUUGUCCAAGGUGCCACGCAGUGGGACUGAACCCAGAACCAUGUGGCUGGUAAGCAAGCUACUUGCCACACAGCCACUCCUGCGCCUAUAUUGAAAUAAUGUGGUUAUUAGCUUUACUUUUAUAAUAAACUACGGAAGACGGUAGGAAUUAUAAUUUUUUAUGACUUAAUAGAGUUGUCGCUGCUUAAUUACGUAUUUAGGAGAGGUUCUAAUGUACUUACGGAAUUUAUUUAUCGAUCCAGUUGUACAUUGAGUAAAGGUGUUUGAAAGUUGUGGUUUCUUUGGCUUAUCUGUUCCCAAACAACACUUAUUUUAGUGUUGUUGACACCACCGGAUUAUAUGGUACUGCCUAGGUGUCGAAACCAUAAUGAUAUCCGUGGGGCAGCUGAUGAUGGGGGUAUGUUGGAUUGUUGGUAUGGCUGUAGAAUAGUAUUAUAACACAUCCUUUUGAUAUAUAUUAUCAUUAUUAUUAUUUUUUAGUGAUAUAAUAAUUUUAGUGAGUAUAGCCUCAAUUUCUACGUAUAUAUGUGUGUGUAUAUGUGUAUGUAUUAGUGUAUUUGUGUCUGUGUCUGUCCUCUUACCACCGCCUCACAACCAGUGUUGGUGCGUUUAAGUCCCUGUAAUAUAGCGGUUCUGCAUGAUAGACCGAUAGAAUAAGGAGUAGGCUCUAAAAUAAGUCCUGAAGUCGAUUUGUUUGACUAAACACUUCAAGGGGGUGCUCCAGUAAGGUCGCAGUCAAAUAACUAAAAAAAAGCAAAAGAAUAAAGAAUAUACAUACAUACACACACACACACACAUACACACACACACACACACACACACACACACACACACACACACACAUAUAUAUGGGGAGAGUUUACGAAAAAAACAAAAGACGAAGACAGGUGGUGUACAAAACAAACAGAUGUAUUAGUAUAACGCUCAGGAAUAGAAAACGUCUUUUACGUUUCGAGCCUACGCUCUUCUACAGCAAGGGACACUGAAAAAACAAGGAGAGAAAAAAAUAUGUGUAGUGGCUAACGAUCUAUCAUGGCGACUAUCAUAUAUCUAUCAUAUAUAUAUAUAUAUAUAUAUAUAUAUAUAUAUAUAUAUAUAUAUAUAUAUAUAUAUGACCGCGUGUGUGGUAGUUUUUUUCAUCAUUCUAUUGGCGGCAACUUCAUAGUUUCGACAAAUGUACGGCAUUUUGAAUCUGGUAAAGAAGCCAUAUGACUGGUGUGUGUGUGUAUGUAUAUGCACAUAUCAAUUUAUAUAUUACAUUUGUAAAAUGUAUAUAUUUGCAUAUAAAAAUGUGUAUAUACGUAUAUAAUAUAUUUACACAUAUGAAAAUAUUCACUCACACACAUACAUAUCAAUAUAUAUAUAUACGAAAAAUGUAUAUAUAUAUAUAUAUAUAUAUAUUGCACACACAUUAAAUAUAGUUGUACAUGGUGUAUAUCUAUGUAUAUUAUACAUUUAUAUACACACAACACACACACACACACACAUACACACACACACACACAUAUAUAUAUAUAUAUAAUAUAUAAUAUAAUCGAAUAUAAUAUAAUUACACAAGCGCAAGCACAGCUGUGCAUUGGCGCAGAUAUGGCCAUGUGGUUAAGCUGACUAAUGGCAAGUGAAUAAAUUUGGUAGACAAAAUGUGUGUGGAAGCCCGUCGUCUGUGUGUGUGUGUGUGUGUGUGUGUGUGUGUGUGUGUGUGUGUGUGUGUGUGUGUGUGUGUGAGUGUGUGUGUGUGAGUGUGUGUGUAUGCUCCUCUGAGUAUUUGGGCCGGUGAUGUGUUUGUCUCCCCACCGAACUGCUUGAUAGCGGGUUUUGAUUUGUUUACACCCCUGUGAGCUAGCGAUUCAGCGAAAAAACUGAUAAAAUACGUAGCGGACUCAAAAGUAAAUACUGGAGUCAAUUUUCUCGACUAAAUCCUACCCCAACACCUAAAAAAUUAUAUAAAUGACUAUAUAUAUAUAUAUAUAUAUAUAUAUAUAUAUAUAUAUAUAUAUAUAUAUAUAUAUAUAUAUAUAUAUAUACACAUACAUACAUACAUACAUGCAUGCAUACAUACAUACAUACAUACAUACAUACAUACAUACAUACAUACAUACAUACAUACAUACAUACAUACAUAUAUUUAUGUAUGUUACACAUACUUCAUCCACACACGAUCCUCCACACGCAGAUAUGAACACAUGCAUAUUCUCAUAGUCAGAUAGCUCUGUUAGCCCUCCACCACUAAACACCAAUAUCAAUCGAAACUCAAAGAAUACAGAAUACUAGGUGGCAAUAUAUAAAAAUGAAUCUCCAAAUCUAUACAGAAGCCCAGGUAUUUGACCCUGUAUGAACAUCCAUCUUACUACAGACAACACCAAUAUCCUGACAAAUCGGCAAUUGUCUUCGUAAUUUAGAGAGAUUUGUUUGGGUUUUUUUUUCGUUGUUGACUCGGGAUUCAAUAACAGUAGGCUUAUUGAAAAAUGUACCAUAUCAUUCUAAACGACUGUGGAAGCACAUUUCGAGUAUUUGAAAAUAUGAAAAUGUAUAUGAUAUCAGAAAACCUAAAUCCGAAUAGCAUCCCUCUCGAAUUACUGGAACAUGGCGGUCUGUGAUCCUGAAAUUAUGAGAAGACAGCCGAUUCCCCAAAGAAUUUUUAAAUAGUUAUCACCAUCUUCAGGAAAAGAGAUCUAAAUCUUGUAGUAAUUCUUUCUGAAUAACAUUGCUUUCUGUCGCACAGGAAAAAAUUUGCAAGAGUAUUUCUAAACCGCCGCCAGAUCAUCAAAGGAAAAGUGUGUCUCGAAUCUCAGUUCUGUUUUUGUGCCUGUCGCAGUACAGUUGACUAUUUUCUGUGCAAAGCGGCUAUAGGUUAAAGGAAGAAAACAACAAAAUCUCUUCCUUGUCUUCUACGACCUGAGCAUGAUUUUGACAGCGUGUAAAAUGAUGCAACAAGUCUUCAACGUUUUUCAGGCCACGUCAUCUCACUUGUUCAAGCCCUGCACCACGGUAUAUCAGGUUACAUUUUUCGUUUCACCAAACUUCCUGAACAUUUCUCAAUUACUUGUGAAUUGAAGCAAGGUUGUACCCUCGCAGCUAGGCUCUUUACUCUUAUUAGUAUGGUUUCUGAACCUCUUCCGAACAAUCCAGGUGUUGACAUAAGAUACUGCUUUGAUGGCAGGAGGGUAUUUAUCACAGGUAUAUUUCGAACGCAUCAAUUCACUAACAUCGAAUAUAUCACAGAUUUCAUAACUGCUCAGCGCAUAUGAUUAUCCCCAGAGUGGAUAUUUGGAAGACCGGGGUCCUUGCCCAACCAGUUCCAAAGAUUAACCACCUUACUACUGAAAAUGAUAAGAAACAUAUAAUUGAAUUAGUUCAUUCAGCCUACUGAAAAUUGACAAAACGAGGCUUUAAUGACAAAAAUCUAUCCGAAAAUGGCGAAACCGACGGUUCCUAAAGCUGUUGUAAUCUCAGUAUUACUAUAAUGUUGUGAAACAUGGACACAUUAUCGCCGGGAUAUUAAAAGCUGGAAUUUUUUCCACCAAGAAAAGCUCUGCAUCAUUUUAAACAUUAAAUAUUUGGACUACAUAACCAAGAAUACUAUCCAAGAAAAAUUUACCUCUCGAAGGAUUGAAUCGCUGUAUACGAUGUUCAAGACGUGUGGUUAGAACGACAGAAAAGAGGAUUCUUCAACAAAUAAACCAUCGAGGAUGCAUUUUCUGGCGUUAUAGAAAUCAGCUAAAGCCAACUCUGAAAAUGGCAGGAAAUGAGACAAAAACGCGAGAAACUGAAGCUCAUGAUCAUUCCAAGAGGCACCAUCUUAUCAGUACCGUUACUGGCCCUUUUGCAGUCAAAUGAAAAGUCGAAAAAAAUGUGUGUAGUGGCUACCGAUCUAUGCACGCGCAAGCACACACACAUAUUACUUGUUCACGAGUUUCAGCCGGUUGUCGGUGGUCAUACUGGGGCACCACCAUUAGCGUCAUUUUUAUUUCGUUUCACCAUCUUUCCCUCUGUGUUUGAUUUUCGGUGGAUGCGUGAGUAUGUUACCACUACCCAUACUUCUUUGUCCUGCUUUCAUGUAGGUUGGUCUGGGAUAUCAGAUAAAAAAAGAAAACGAAUACCUAAUGUAUUCUUUAAAACUAAUUACAUCCGUGUAGCGUCGAUCUCUUAAUAUUCUUGGUUAGGUAAUGAAAGGUUGUGGGCUUCUGAACACUAAGCUUUUACAGAAUCGGAUUCUGUUCUAAAUGGGAAGGGUAGUCUGGUAUCAUUGGUAGUUUACUGUAGUCUCCAGUUCGGAGAUCAGCGAGUUGAAUCACUUUCAGCCUCUCUUUGCAGAACAGCUGUUGCAUUGAGGCAAACUUGUUGGUGUAAAAGCUUCAUGUUCCGCUACUAGCUUAAUCCCAUUACUGAGAGCAGUAAUAUAUAUAUAUAUAUAUAUAUAUAUAUAUAUAGGAAGAAUUUACGAAAAAGCAAAAGACCAAGUCAGGUGGUGUAGAAAACAAACAAAUGUAUUAAUAUAACGCUCGGGAAUUGAAAAAGUUUUUAACCUUUCGAGCCUACGCUCUUGCACAGAAAGGAACACAGAAAGAAACAAGGAGAGAAAUGUAUGUAUGUAUAUAUAUAAUAUAUAUAAAUUAUAGGCGCAGGAGUGGCUGUGUGGUAAGUAGCUUGCUUAUGAACUACAUGGUUCCGGGUUCAGUCCCACUGCAUGGCAUCUUGGGCAAAUGUCUUCUACUAUAGCCUCGGGCCGACCAAAGCCUUGUGAGUGGACUUAGUAGACCGAAACUGAAAGAAGCCUGUCGUAUGUAUGUAUAUAUAUAUAUAUGUAUGUAUGUGUCUGUGUUUGUCCCCCUAGCAUUGCUUGACAACCGAUGCUGGUGUGUUUACGUCCCCGUUACUUAGCGGUUCGGCAAAAAGAGACCGAUAGAAUAAAUACUGGGCUUACAAAGAAUAAGUCCCGGGGUCGAUUUGCUCGACAAAAGGCGGUGCUCCAGCAUGGCCGCAAUCAAAUGACUGAAACAAGUAAAAAGUAAAAAAAGUAAAAAAAAGUAAAAAAAGUAUAUAUAUAUAUAUAUAUAUAUAUAUCUGUAAAAUAAUAUGUGACAAUUAUUUUACAGAUAAAUUUCCUCUAUUUACAUAACAUUGAGGUUUCUUUCUUUGUUUCGUUAUCUUAGCGUUUUUACCAAUAUAUAUAUACUUAUAUAUAUAUAUAUAUAUAUAUAUAUAUAUAUAUAUAUAUAUAUAUAUAUAUAUAUAAGUAAAUGUAAGGAUAAGCAAGUUACGCAAGUCGAUAUACAAAAAAUGUACGUAUGUUUAUAUAUAAAAAGGUCUGACUCACACAGAAUAGAAAUGAUAUCAGGAAUAAAGGGGCUGUGUAAGAGUUUUACGAGUCCAACAGCUGGGGGCUUUGGUGGUCCAAAAUAAUGAUUGUAAAUUGAUUCCAUCAUCGGAUAAUACCGGCCUCCGACUUCAGGGAAGAAGUUUUACAUUUGAGGUGUUGACAGAAAGGAGAUUAAAUAUGGAGUAGUUUUGUGGAGAACUAAGUGUACGUGGAGAACUUACAUUUCUAUUCUGCGUUAAGUCGGACCUUUUUGUGUACAUAUUUUGUAUAAAAUGUAUUUAAUAUUUUUUUGUAUAUCGACUUGCCAAACUUGCUUAUCAUUGCAUUCACUCCUGUACCGGCUCAAGUUUAAAAUUCUUGAGCACUAUGAAGUGUAUUCUAUAUGGAGAAUAUCUGCUUGUCUGUCUGUCUGUCUGUCUCUCUCUCUCUCCCUCUCUCACUCUCUCUAUAUAAAUUUAAAUGAAAUAAGUAUUAUUAAUGUUAUUAUUAUUAUUAUUAUUAUUAUUAUUAUUAUUAUUAUUAUUAUUAUUAUUAUUAAUAAUAAUAAUAAUAAUAAUAAUAAUGAUAAUAUUAUUAUUAUUAUUAUUAUUAAUAAUAAUAAUAAUAAUAAUGAUAAUAAUAAUAAUAAUAAUAAUAAUAAGAGUAAUAAGAGUAAUAAUAAUAAUAAUAAUAAUAAGAGUAAUAAUAAUAAUAAUAAUAAUAAUAAUAAUAAUAAUAAUAAUAAUAAUAAUAAUAAUGUGGCUAGCAAGCUUACACCUUUGCAGGUAAAAUAGAAACUAAAUUCAGAUUCAUCGCUCCAAAAAUCCUUUUGAAUCUGAAUUUAGCGGGGACAAGCACAUGCGUACAUACACACGCACAAAAUCACACACACACAUACCGGGCUUCUUUCAGUUUCCGUCUAUCAAAUCCACUCACAAGUUUUGGGGUUGGCUCGAGGCUACAGCUGAAGAUACUUGCCCAAGGUGCCACGCAGAACCCGAAACCAUGUGGUUAGGAAGCAAGAUUCUUACCAAACAGCCACUCCUGCACCUAUAUAUAUAUAUAUAUGUGUGUGUGUGUGUGUGUGUAAGUAUUAGUUGAACCGAAAGUGAUGAAAAGUAUGCCGAACACUUUUAUUUCACAAGUUGAUAGAGUAACCCUUCCCCUACAGAAUAAUACUAUGCAACAUAGCUUCCGUCACAAGCAAUGCGUUUCUCCUGCCGUUGAACACAACUCUUGAAUCCGCUUGAAAAAUAUUCAGGUGCGCUGUUGUACCUACUUUUUUCACAGCUACUCAUCUGAGUUAUCAAACUGUCGUCUCCGAAGUCUGCCCUUCAUUGGACCAAACAGGGGAAAAUAAAAUUGUAGAGUACUGCAGCUGGGCUGUGCGGUGGAAGGAGUACCAAUGAUCAACCCAAUUUGUCGCUUACCUGAUUUGUUACCAAACAUGCGUGUGAGUGUACGUUGCUGCGAUUGGUAGUUUUCAGAUUCUUGUUUGAUCUUGUUAUCCUAAUGGCUUCACUAAGCUGUUUCAGUGUCCCAGUGUACCGCUCGCUGUUCCUGGUACAGCCACAUUCCAAAACGGAAUUCUAUCAUUGUCUUCUUCAAGUUGAGUGUCAAGUGCCAAGAUAUCUACUUUACACUCACUUUUCGAUACCCAGUCCUCCAAUAUUUUAUAUAAUGCAUCGCAAUCACCAUCCAGUUGCAUAAGCUCACAGUUUGUGACUAGUUUGUCCGCACGCGUCAAUUCGUUCACACGCUAGUUAUUCGUGUGUGUGUGUGUGUGUGUGUGUAUGUGUGUGUGUGUGUGUGCGCGCGCGCGUGUGUACGUGUGCUACCUGAAUGACCCAUAGUUACCGGGUUACUGCUGUUAUUAUUCUGAUUAGUAAACAAUAAAUAUAAAAAUGUAUUCUCAUAAUUAUUUCAAAAUAUCCUAUAUUUCAUUUUAAAAAUAACAUCCAAAUUCUAAUGGUAAUAGAAUCUAGAAUGGAAAGUCUGCCUAUGUUGAAGCACUUCAGGGUAAACAAUAUUCAUUGUGUAAUCUCUUAUUGGUGUCGGAAUGAGUAAAUUGUUACUGCUUCCAAGUCGUGAGCAAGCAACAUAGAUUUAGCCGUGGAAGAAGCAUGUAGUUGAAAGAUCAAAUCCAACUACCUUGAGAGAUUGACCCUAAGAUUUUUUAAUUGAAAUACCAAAACUUAGUUUGACUGGAAAUUGAAGUGUCUUAAAUUCAAAUGGAACAUUUGUAGGCAUGAGAAGAAUUUUUGGAAUAAAGACAUUUUCUCCUUUGUGACUACCAGCUAUAAUUGUUGCCUGUAGGACAUGGGGCUUCAUGGAAGUAACAAUUAAGUGAGUUCCAUUACACAGGUGUUAUAGGUCAAGAUUCCUAAGCAACAUAAUGGGAGCACCGAGUUUUAGUGUCAAGUUAUGCAGUGACAUCCCACUGGGUUUAAAUGUGUUCAGAAAUUCAACAGGGUAUUGAACAAUCUGAUCUUGAUUGACUGGUUCAUGAUUGAGUUUAUCUACCAUUUCAUUAGUUGGAGCCAGUAUAGGUCUUUCACAUAGCCAGUUUUCAUCAGUGUAUUUUGACAGAUACAUUAGGAAGUACUUUAUCCAUAAGAUCCCUAAGAGAAUGUAUCAUUUGAUCGCAUUUAAUUUCAUGUAGCUGAAAUUUUGAGUUGACUGUUAAUAUCCUACUACCAAUCUUAAGAAACUCGUAUGAUCACCAUACUGAAGUACUCUCAUUUUGCUUGUAAGGUUAAGUUUUUUCACAUGUCUCCAAAGGUACGAUUUUUUUGAAACAUGCAUUGACCUCACCUGCUUUUGAUCCUUCGGGGAUAACUUACAAUGUUUGACGCAAAUCUCCUGCAAGAAGAACUGUUACUCCUCCCAUAAGCGUGCUAUUGUUUUUAUGUCUUGGAGAGUACGGUCAAGUACCUCUAGAGCUCCACGAUGUGACAUAGUCCACUCAUCCCAAACAAUGAGGUAAGUUUGUUGGAGAACUGUUGCCAUUGCAGAGUUUUUGGAAAUGCUGCACAUUUGAGAUUCUUUCAUUGCAAGGUUUAGAGGAAGCAUGAACAUGGAAUGAGCAGUUCUUUCCCCCAAUGAGGAGAGUAGCUGCAAUACCAGAAGAUGCAACACUAGAAGGUUAAAUUUUAUCUCUUCCCAUUGAGGAUUGCCGGUGAAAGUGACAAAAAGAUCUGGUUUUCCAUGUCCUGACAUAUGUCAUAGCAUCUUGUGUUCGUUCGCGCAUAUAUCGAGGACCAUCUGUGAAUGAUGAUGGGAAGAUUAUAUGUUACCCCAUGUUUUGAAUAUCACACUGUCCUCAGAGUAUCUUUGAGAUGAACAUAAUUUUUUUGAUUAUUACGAAUGUAGAGGAGACGCUGAUUCUCAACUUUAGUAUGCAUAUCAACCAGGUAUUGCUGAAAUAGAUCACGAUAUAUGUGUAAUUGAUUUGAUUGUUCUGGUCUUAACAUCAGUUGGUAAGAAUAGAAGUCAUUUGACGACACCGUUUUGUUUAUAACUGGUUCUCGUGUGGCAGGUUCAAUCUGCGGAAUAUGAAAUGAUAGCCAUCUUGUCCAUUCCACAAAAUAAGAGGAUACUGGAGAGCGUCAUAAGAGGGAUAAGUCUGUGAAACACGUUUAAGGUUGUUAUCUCGAGCACGAACGAGAAUAUCACGAUUUUUAUGGGUAUCACUUAUCAUAAGAAGGGCUACUUCAUUAGGUGUGGGUUCAGCAAAACGGCGAAAAAUGUCCUUUACUAUAGUUUACUAUGGACGAAACGAACGCAGAAACACACAAGCACUCACAGACACAUACACAUUCAUGCAACUAAGUUUUCGAAUGCACAAAGAACAUACACACACAUACACGCACACACAAAGCUCUGCAGGAAUGAGAAUAUCACGGGCAACAUCUGCCAUAAGGAUGACUACUUCAUUACAUGUGGGCUCAUUAAAACGGCGUAAUAUAGUUUAUUAUAGACGUAACGAACAGGGAAGCACACACACACUCACAGACAAAUACACACCCAUACAUGUAUGUAUAUGUGUAGAUGCGUGUGUGUUUAAUUGUCUCAGGCCUAACGUAUAAAGAUUAGUAAACAUACAGUCGCACACACAUACAAUCUGACAUACAGUCACAUACAUCUACUAAGACAGACACACACACACAGACAUACAUUCACGCACACCUCGGGCAUAUCUCUGUCCCUCUCUGUGUGCGUGUCUCUCUUUUUAGAUGUGUGUGUCACCACAAAAAUGUAUGUAUGCUCAUACACACAUACACCCUCACAUAUACUGACUUACAUGUACUUCUCGGUCAUCGGCCUAAAGUACGUGUCAACUCACACACACACACACACACACACACACACACACACACACACACACACAUGCACACAUACUAAUAGACACAUACACAGUAAUAUAGAAAAUGUGACCUAGUGGUGGUGGUAUAAAAUGUCGUUUACGACAGUUGACUUAGAGAAAGAUUAUAAUGUAAAAUUUUUGUAAUGCAAAUAUGCAAAUGAAAAUAAAGUUUAUUUGGUAGCCGAAAGGUUACUGAAUCUUUUGAUACCCCAGACGUCAAAAUCGGCAACUAACUUUUAGAAUGCAUAAUGAACAUGCGCGCACACACACACACACACACAUACACACACACACACACACACACACACACACACACACACACACACACACGAACUCUGCUUUAUAUAUAUCGAUAUAAGUGUGUGUGUUUGUUUUUGUCCCUGGCCCUCACGCCUCGCCACCGCUUGACAACCAGUGUUGGUGUGUUCAUGUCCGUUCCCAUAAAAUAGCAGUUCGUCCUAAGAGACCGAUAGAAUAAUUACUAAGCUUAAAAAAAAAGUACUGGGGUUCGAUUCUUUCGACUAAAAUUCUUGAAAUGCUGCCUGGGCAUGGCUGCAGUCUAGUGACUGAAACAAGUAAGAGAUAAAAAAAAUAUGUAUACGGCUGUGUACGUGUGUGUGUGUGUACACACACACACACACACACACACAUAUAUCUACUGAACAGCAACACAGUCACUCUCUGUAAACAUAAAACCUUUAAAAUGCUGGAUUUUUUUUAAACCUAUAAUUUUCUCCAACGGCUGAUUUAGAUAUCUACCUUCUGCCUCCCACAAUUACGCCUCGGCAUAAUAAACAACCUUCUUCCCCACCUCCUAUUACAUUCACUCCACCAUUUCAAUGUAAAGAGCCUCCACUAUUCAUAUGUUCAUAUUUUACCAUUUUUAUUAUGUAUUUUUGUAUUUGUAUAAGUAUUUUUUAAAUAUUAUUUAGAGUUUUCUCCUUUGCUAUCAUUUAUUAACUCUAAAUUUUUUAAGACAUGAUAUUUUUUUUUUUUUGACAGCAAAUAGAAAGCUUGAAAAUUUCUAAAAUAUUCACAUCUAUCAGAAAAGAGUUGUGAAUACUCUUACCUGUACGGACUUAGAUCGUCCUUCAUAUUUCUAUCCACUAAAAUUUGCUUAAGUAUCCUUAGAUGUAUAUGUGGUAGAGAACAUGUUUUGUGUAUGAUGUACACUUGCUUCCGUCUGCAUACACCUGUAGUUAUAUAACUAUGUGUUCUUGAGUAUAUAUUUAUCUCUACACAUACAUGUAGUUUGGGUGUCAUAUACCAUAUGUAUCAUUCGACACUAGACACCCCUACCUACAUAUGGUUUUAUGGAUAUCAGUACACUUUAAUUCAUUUUAAAUCCUUUAUAUACAUAUGAAAAUUUGCGUCAAGGAAUGUGCAUCUGUGUGUGUGUGUGUGUGUGUGUGUGUGUGUGUGUAUACGUAUUGUUGCUGUAUGUACCCUUUCAUUGAUGCAUUUAAAGAUAUUUAUACGUAUGAGCGUGUAAGUGUAUUUAUCUAUAGAUAUAUAAUAUAAAUUUACAUAUACAGAUAUUCGACCCUACACGUAUCAUUUUUGCUUAUGUAUGAGCAUGUGUAUAUGUGUAUACUUUUGUAUAGAAUUCAUGUAUGUAUACACAUGUGUAUGUCUCCCCCUCUCUCAUAUAUAUGUGUGUGUAUACAUACGCACACAUGCACACACACAUAUGUAUGUGUGUACAUAUAUAUAUAUAUAUAUAUAUAUAUAUAUAUAUAUGUAUAUGAGCUUAUUUGUUCGGUUCUAUAUAUAUAUUAUCUAGUUCAUAUUUUAUACGUUUGCGAUAGUGGAAUCUGUAUACAAGGUUACGUGGUUACAUUCUUCUUUCGAUAUGUAUAUAUCAUAUGUAUAUGGUGAUCAUAUAUUUACAUUUACACACACCCACAUGUCUGUGUGGGUGUGUUUGUACACACACAUAUAUAUAUCUCCUAAUGUAAUAAAAACCAAAUGUAUUUUAGUAAAAUUUCUGAAAAUGUUCACAAUAAGCUUUCUAUGAAUUCGUCUUCAGCUUCUAUGAAUACUUCAAUGCGGGAUCGGAAUCGUCAACACGCCUACACUAACUGGUCCGUAUCCAUUUCAGACAGCACCUGGAUCAGUGGUUCUCAACUGGGGUCCAUGUGGCCCUUGAAGGUCCAUUUAAGAUUUUUGAGGGUCCAUAUGGCCCUUGAAGGUCCACUUAAGAUUUUUGAGGGUCGAUGCAACAAAAGAGUAACAUGGGGAUCCACAAUAGAAUUUUAAGGGCUCCUGACAAAAUUUUGCUUUAGGCGCAUGUUUUGGUAUGUAUUUGGAGAAACAGCUAAGAUUCUUUCUCUAACAUUUUACAUAGUUCAACCUACACGUUAAUGCGCGAAAAACAAAAUAGGAAUUUUGAAAGGAGAUUCUAUAAAACCAAUUUUAAAACAUAGAAUGGCUAUAGGGGUCCUCCAAAACAAAAUAGUAAGCAAGGGGAUCUAUAGUUAGAAAAUGGUUGAGAAUCCCUGACCUGGACAAUGGCUGCCUUCAAUGAAAUUAUUGUAUUGUGAGGAUGUCGAUUAGUCUCUCUUUCAAAAACGCACCGAACGCAGUAUUCAAUGGGAUUUAGAUCUGGCAUUUUGUGAUGAUUGUCUAGCAUCCAUUCUUGAAUUACGCGGGCUUUGUGAGAAGGUGCUGUACCUUGUUGAAAUUCGUGUGGUUUUCUAAUGGUCUUCACUCCAGCCUUUUAAUGUAUCCAGUAGUAUUAAUUGUGAGACCCUACGGAAACUUGACAUGUCAUACCAUUCAUUACUCAUCUCUAUGAAAACCUGCACUUUUGCGGGAAACUUUGUGUGAAUCACUCUGGGGACAUCAGAAGGAUCUGCACAUAACUAUCUGUUAUUUCUCCUGUUAGACUUUUGGUCUUAGUUAAGGUUUUUCUCAUCAGAGCAGAACCAAAGCAUGUCAUGUUCGUUGGGGUUUUUUAAUGUUUUUAAGUAAAUGCAUGGUACGGAUGAAACGGUUUUCAUGUGUAUUUGUAGAUAUGAAUUGAUCUCUCCUUGGUAGAUUCGACUUGGAUCGAAUGUCUUUGUGCCACAGCUCUGAUAGACCACUCCGAUACCUUGAAGUUCUUUGGCGAUGACUCAGUUAUUUUCAGGAAUCGCUAAUCGAUGAUGCUUUGAUCCCAUUGUAUGAAUUACAAUGCUCUUAUAAUGUCCAAAUAUUUAGAAUGCUUUUUCUCUGCGAUACAGUUGAAAUAUUCCCGUAAGAGGUUUCCAAUUCCAUUGGAACUUAGUGUACAAAAAACCAUGCUUGACAGGUACUUAUUUUAUUGAACCCGAAAGGAUGAAAGGCAGAGUUGACCUCGGUGAAAUUUGAACAUAGAACGAGAAGACAGAAGAAAUGCUUAGCAGCAUUUCGACAAUUGAGACAGAAAAGUAAUGAGAUAUAUGAGAAAGUAACCAUAUAUAAGUAAUGAGAAAGUAACCAUAUAUAAAGAAUAGAUUUAAUCAAAAGAAAAUCAUCGAAGUUAACGGUCUAUUGAGAAAGUGAGGGUUAAAACUAUACUAAGUACAAUGGAAGCGUUUAUUUAAAGUGCGUUUAAUUGUAAAGUAUUUUUAAAGUAUAAUGUGUAGCGUUAUCUGAGUCUCAUUAUUUAAAAUAGUAAUCGGUAGUGGGUAAAGUUAAGCGCUAAAUAAUGAAUAAGAUAAUAAGCUGAAAAAAAUUAUGAAUUUACAAACAUUUUUUUCAAGGCAAGUAAGACUAUAACAUAAUUAUCAUUAUUAUACCCGAAGAGAUGAAAAGCAAAGUCGACAUCGGCGGGAUUUGAACUCAGAACGUAAAGACGGACGAAAUACUGCUAAGCAUUAUAGCCGGCGUGCUUAUGAUUCUUUUUUGCUAGCUUCCUUAAAUAUCGUAAAUAUUAAAUAUUAAGUACUUUUUUUUUGGAUAUUAUUAUUAUCAUUAUUGUUAUUGUGAGCUGGCAGGAUCGUUAGCACGCCAAGUUAAAUACUUAGCGACAUUUUGUCCGAGUUUAAAUUCCACCGGUGCCAACUUUGCCUUCCAUCUUUUCAGGAUCGAUAAAAUAAACAGCAGUUGAGUACUGGGAUCCAUGUAAUCGACUAGCCCUUUCCCUCAAAAUUACAGACCUUGUGCCUAUAGUAGAAAGGAUUAUUAUUAUUAUUAUUAUUAUUAUUAUUAUUUUUAUUAUUAUUAUUAUUAUUAUUAUUACUGUUAUAACAGCUAAAAUUAAAUAUCCUAAUUUUAUUACCGUGAAAAAUCUUAACAUUAAUACUCCAACAAAAUUAUCAUAGUGGUUGGUAGUAUAAGAAAGAUUUUUUCUAAUCUUGUGAGACAUCUUAUGCGUAAUUUCUCAAACAUAUUAACAAGAUUCUUCACACAUCACAAGAUUUCUUGAAUUUCCAUGCAACAAUGAAUAUCAACUACUACCGCUCGUGUAUGACAUAGCGUUUCUUACUUGAGCCCAAGAAACUGUAUUCAAUAUUUGGUCUUUUCAAUUCCCAGGUUUUUGCCGCCGAUGAUGUAACAUUAACCUUAUCCUUUCCCUGAAGAUGUGUAAAUGGUUACGUAUUCUAGACUUGAAAUCAAUUGCUGCAGUGCCUAUAUAUAUAUAUAAAGGCUAGAUUAGCAAUCACUACUGUGCAUUUAUAAACAAUAUUCUUAGAUAUUUACUAGUCAACAGGCAUUCAGUUGUUCUUCAAAUGUACUACCGAAAGUAGUAUAUUUGAAGAAUAUAUAAUAGUAGUACAAUUAUUACAGCUGUUCCAAUUACUACUACCGUAAAUUAGAUCAUUAUUACUCUCAUCAAUGCAAUUCACCGAGGUACCCUGCAUAUUUAAAUUAUGACUACAACUAAAGUCGUUGCUAGCCAUAUGAUUAAUGUUAAACAUACUGCUGUGUUCAUUUUGGUUGCAGGUGACCGAACCGACGCUAACAAGGAUUGUUUUGUUAUCAAUCGAGUCAAAGUUCGGAUAGUGCACAUUAUUACCGACAUUUUGGUUUACAGAAUAAUCAUCACCCCCAGCAUACAGUACAUAACCAUUAUUUGUGUCAUCAAUAGAAGGAUUCACGUUCAAAGUAACAAAACUAGGAGUAUUAUGAUGUUCCAACUGAUCCUCAUCGCUGAAAGUAUUCAUUUCAUGUGUGCUGGAGCAGGGCUUAAAACAGGAGUAGAAACUCUGUAGCAUUCUUAGAAUGUAACAAAUUUUUCAGUUUAUUAUGGUUAAUAGCUUCAAUGUUGUCAACAAAAUUAGGUGUGGUUGAAUAUGAAAGUUUGAUAGUUUGUUUCUUAUAUUUUCGUACAUUUGCAAGAGGUAAAGGGAAUUACGCUCUAAAGCUUUGAAAAAUAUUUUUGCAAUUUGAGCCAUUAAUUUUUUUCUGUAAGAAUAAUCAUACACAAAAUUUCUCUGCAAUCCAGGGUCUAGUAUGCAAAGAGGCUCCGAUGUUGGGACUGGUAUGUUUAUGAUAUGCAAUUGGAGGUUUAUCCACUCCAUGUCACAUGGAAUUUUCAUGAGAAGUCUUAUUAGAAUGUUUACUCAAGUCAGAAGCAUGUUGGUUAUGCGUGUUAUAUAAUCAUCACAACAAACAUGAACAAUCAACGUCGCCCAUUGUCUCCCUUGAUAAAAGGACUUUCACUUUGUUUCCCGCCAAAACAAUUAACUUGUACAACAACGGCAGUCGAAUAAAGUAUCUUGUAUCGUUAACACGUUGUUUCAGUCUCUCUCAUUUUCUUAAUCUUUCAUACUAAGUACUCACUACUUCCUUUAAUACUCAAUACAUUAUAUAUAUAUAACAACAACAUGGUGUCAGAAUACUAAAAGAACCCAAAAUACAGAAACCAAAGGAAAAAAGAAGUUGAAAUCAUACUUCAAAGACGAAAUGGAAAAUUUACCGCAUCCAAAAGACCUAGACUUUAAUCAGGAAAAUCUAGCCGCAGCAUGGAAAAAGUGGAAAAAAGAAUUCAAUCUCUUUUGAUAGCAACAGAAAGUGACAUGAAGCCAGACAAAGUAAAAACUUCAAUGUUUUUAACUUGCAUCGGUUCUAAAGGCCGAGAUAUCCAUUCCACACUGGAUUUCGAUUCACCCGACGAAGAAAUGAACCUUCAGACAGUAAUCGAAAAAUUCGAUGCAUAUUGUGAACCCAGGAAAAACAUAACUUUCCUAAGACACAAAUUCUUCACAUGUGGACAAGCGGAACAUCAAAAAUUCGAUGAGUAUGUAGUAGAGUUGCGCCAAAAGGCACAACAGUGCGAAUUCGGCAACCUCACAGACAGUCUCACCAAAGAUAUUCUGAUAUGUGGAAUCAGAGACAUGAGAUUAAGAGAAAGAUUAUUGAGAGAACCAAAUUUAGACCUACAAAAAACAAUUCAAGCAGGUCAGAGUGCAGAGCAAACACGACUCCAAUCAAGGAUGCUAAAUGCCACAUCCGAAACAAGAGAUAACGAAAUCUCGAGGGUAUAUAGUCAACACGACAGAGAAAAGGCGCCAAAACUCAAAUAACCCGCCAUAUGCAAUCCAGACAUCAAAACGAACAGGGCGGAAGUGACAGAAAGCCCGCGAAGUUUCAAGCGCCAAGUCAACACUACGUCACUAACUGUCACUAUUGUGGUUAUAAUCACAAAAGAAAUAAAUGCCCAGCAUUUCACAAGACAUGUGAAAAAUGCAAGAAACAAGGACACUAUGCAAAAAUGUGCAAAUCAAGAAAAUUUGUACAUAAAGUAGAGAUACAUACCGACGAUGAAUCAGAUGACGAUACACAUGCACUUGAAAUGAUCACUGCAAAUAAUUCCCGCGUGCACAAAAUCGAAAAGUUCAAGACUCCAAAAGACAUUUGGACGGUCGAACUAAAAGUGAACAACUCGAAUGUAACAUUCAAAAUAGAUACAGGAGCAGACGUAACCGUACUGCCAUUCAGAGAAUAUAGAAAUAUAAUUCUAAAACCACAACUGCAAAAAACUUCAACUCGAUUAUCAGCUUAUAAUAACACAGCUAUAAAAGUGCUAGGAAAAUGCACAGCAGUCAUUAAAUACAAAGAAUUAUCAAAGCAAAUAAAAUUCAUUGUUGCAAAAACAAACUCGCACGCAGUUAUAGAUGCAAACACAGCUAAAGAUCUGAACCUGAUUCAGAGAAUUUCAAAAAUAAAUUCGUCGAACACAAACGACAUAUUAGAAAAAUAUGAAGACUGUUUCGGAGAAAUCGGCACUUUGUCAAUAACACAUCAUAUCACAGUGGAUCCACAAAUAACUCCUGUAAUUCAUCCACCAAGAUCGGUUCCUUUUUCUAUAAAAGAAAAACUCAACAAAGAAUUAAAAAGAAUGACAGAAUUAGAUAUCAUAAAACCUGUUAGUGAACCUACAGACUGGGUAAAUUCCCUAGUCAUCGUUGAAAAAGCCAACGGAAAACUCCGACUCUGUUUAGACCCCAAGAAUCUAAACAAAGCCAUAAAAAGGCAACAUUUCAAACUCCCUACAGCGGAGGACAUUUUUGCACAAAUGCAUAACCCUAAAUAUUUUUCAAAACUCGAUGCAUCUAAUGGAUACUGGCAAAUUCCAGUUGACGAAGAAAGCUCCCAUCUUUUAACGUUCAACACACCUUUUGGAAGGUAUCGCUUCACACGACUACCCUUUGGAAUUCACAGCGCCAGUGAAGUUUUCCAAAAAGAAAUUUCAAAAAUAAUAGAGGACAUAGAAGGAGCAAGAAAUUCACAGGAUGACAUCAUAAUCUGGUCCAACACUUUAGAAGAACACACAAAUAGACUACAACAAGUUUUCGAUCGAAUCCGAAAGCACGGAUUAAAGUUAAAUAAAUCAAAGUGUAUCUUCUAUGAAUCACAAAUCAAGUACCUUGGGCAUAUAUUAACCAGCGAAGGGAUAAAACAAGAUCCAACCAAGGUACAAGCAAUCAUUCACAUGCCACUGCCAACAAGUAAAAAAGAAUUACAAAGAUUCCUAGGUAUGACAAAUUACCUAUGUAAAUUUUUAUCUAAUUACUCCGAAGUCACAGCACCAUUGCGCCAGCUUCUACAGAGUGACACGUUAUGGUCAUUCGACAAACCACAAAUCGAAGCAAUAAAAAAGCUAAAAGAAAUGAUUACCAGAAAACCAGUGCUACAAUUUUAUGAUCCAGAUCUACCAAUAAAAAUAACUACAGAUGCUAGUAAGCAUGGGCUCGGAGCGAUACUUGAGCAGAAACACAACGAAAGAUGGCUACCUGUUUCGUUUGCAUCUCGUGCAACAACUCAAGCGGAACAAAACUACUGUCCGAUAGAGAGCGAAGCUCUCAGUAUAGUUUUCGCAUGCAAGAAAUUUCAUCAGUUUAUAUACGGAACUCAUUUCAGAAUCGAAAAUGACCAUAAACCGUUGAAGCAAAUAUUCAAAAAAUCGAUCACUAAAUGCCCCCCCCAGAAUCCAAAGAUUUCUACUAACAUUACAAAGAUAUGAUUUUGACCUAAACCACAUACCUGGUAAAGAAUCAAUUGUUGCAGAUACCCUAUCACGUGCAUACCUUGAGCAAAAUACUCCAGAAGUACCAGACGAAGAUAUGAAAUCGCACAUUCAUGCAGUAAUAAAAAAUUACCCCAUAACCGACACUAAAUUAAAAGAGUAUAAAGAAGCCACUGCAGACGACCCGUCUCUACAGACACUCGUCACAUAUACAAGAACAGAAUGGCCCCCAAAAGACAAAAUACCAAUAAACAUCAAACCAUUCGUAUCCGUUCGUGAUGAAAUAUCAAUCGUCAAUGGUCUCGUUCUAAAAGGUUCAAGAAUAAUUGUACCUAAGUCAUUACGUAGAGAAGCUCUACAGGAAAUACAUACCGGACACAUGGGUAUCGAAAAAUGCAUAGAGAGAGCGAAGGAAUGUAUAUACUGGCCCGGCAUUAACGCUCAAAUCAAAGACAUGAUUAACACAUGCUCAUACUGCAUUGACUACAAAAAUCAACAAGCAGCCGAACCACUAAUAAAUCAUGAAAUACCUACUACACCAUGGACCAAAGUGGGUACAGACGUAUUUCACCUGUCUGGAAAUUCGUAUGUCACAAUUAUUGACUAUACAACAAGAUUUUUUGAUCUACACGAAAUAAAUGAUUGCCAGUCAAAAACCGUAAUCAAAAAAUUAAAAGAAACUUUUGCUAAAUUCGGAAUUCCGCAAACAGUUGUAAGUGACAACGGUCCAGAAUUCAAUUCGGCUGAAUUCAAAAAAUUUGCAAAAAAUUGGCAUUUUCAUCACACGAAGACAAGCCCGCAUUAUCAUCAAGCGAAUGGCAUGGUUGAGAGAAAUAUACAGACAAUAAAAAAGACGCUAAAAAAGGCAUUCAAAAGUGACGAAGAACCUCAGUUAGCGCUCUUAGCAUUACGCACGACUAAAUUACAAAAUGGUGCACCAUCCCCUGCAAAUCAAAUAAUAAAUAGAACAUUGCGAACAAAUCUCCCAAACAUACUACACGACAAAAUUGGUAUCAGGCCUCACGAAAAGAAGAAAUCAAACAUUACAACAGAACUCCCAGAGUUAAAACCACACGACACGGUUAGAAUUAAGUUUAACAACCAUUGGUUUAGAAGGGGCAAAAUAAUUAAAAAACUAGAGCAACCUCGUUCAUACUUAGUAAUAACAGAGGAAGGAAAUACAGUCAAACGAAAUAGACAACAUAUUCUUAAAACAAACGAACACGUUCGCAUAACAGAAGAAUUAGAUUAUGAAAAUAUAUUUCCAAAGUCAACAAACACGCAUGAAAAAACAAAAACAGCACAACUACAGAAUUCAACACUACAAAAUAAUAAAACCACAAAAAGUGGACGACGAAUAAUUAUUCCCUGUAGAUACAGAUGAUAUAAAAAAAAAUUUAAAAAAAAAAAAAAAAAGGAAGAUGUUAUAUAAUCAUCACAACAAACAUGAACAAUCAACGUCGCCCAUUGUCUCCCUUGAUAAAAGGACGUUCACUUUGUUUCCCGCCAAAACAAUUAACUUGUACAACAACGGCAGUCGAAUAAAGUAUCUUGUAUCGUUAACACGUUGUUUCAGUCUCUCUCAUUUUCUUAAUCUUUCAUACUAAGUACUCACUACUUCCUUUAAUACUCAAUACAUUAUAUAUAUAUAACAACAACAAUGCGAAGCCUUACUUAUCUUUAGAAUUAUACUUUUUCCGAGGAGUUUGAUUUUUAGAUAUAGGUAUACGAAGAUUGCUACAAGAUGCUUUGACAUUACCACACAUGCUACGUAUGUUACUACACGAUAUAUCACCAAGAUAUUCUGCACGUAUAUUACUACAUGAUCAAUCAAACAUCGUGCUGUUUGAUUUUUCGCCAAAUUUAAUAUCUCCAUCCUACGUUAAAGUUUCUUGUUUCACUUUAUUUGUUUAUAAAAAAUCUCUUCCUUCAUUCAUUCAUCGUAUUUCACCAAAAUAUAUGUCAGAACAUCACCUGAUGAAAUGCAGUAGUUAUGUAACUAUACGAAUUUAUGUGACGUUAUAUAAUGUGUAAUGGACUUUGAAUUUGAGAAUAAACUGCGCUUUCGAAACGUGUGCAAUGACAUUUUGAACUAUCCAUUUGAUUUUUGUUUACAAACUGAUAUACCACAUAAUAAUGUACCAAUUAUACAUUAGACAUAUUUGGAGGAUAUCCGGGAUCAGUAAACAAUUGUUCAACUUUGUAUGGACCGUUGUACUGACCAACUGAAUUACCUGAAAUGCUUUUGAAGUAAUCUGUUUAGCCUAAAAUGCGCGGAGAGUCAAUUUGCAAAAAUCUAUUUGAUCCCCUCUAUAUUACGAUAUAUAUAUAUGUAAUAAUGAUGAUGAUGAUGAUAAUAAUAAUAAUAAUAAUAAUAAUAAUAAUAAUAAUAAUAAUAAUAAUAAUAAUAACAACCAAAGUAGAAAAAUAUAAAUUUUGCAUAUAUAUGAUACUUAGUGCUCCACGGCUGUUUCAUUAGGGUAAACAUCAUUAAUUACGUAAUUUUGAUUAAUAAUCUAAUUUGAAUUAUGUAUUGCAGUUACGUAAUUAAGGAAUUAAUGAUGUUUGUUGCAAUCAUAUAUACAUAUAUAUAUAUAUAUAUAUAUAUAUAUAUAUAUAUAUAUAUAUAAUUAAGAGCUCAAUUAUGUGUGUGUGUGAGUGCAUGUAUACUGAGACAUAAGUAUUUUAAUAUAAAUGCACAUACAUUUAUUUAUACACCCCCAUACAUAUGUAUAUUUUCAUAGCUAUCUAUAUGUAUAUGAGGCACUUGUUUAUAUACAUCCAUAUAUAUACAUAUUUUUUAUCUAUAUAUAUAUAUGUAUAUUUUAUAUCACACACACACACACAGUGGAAUUUGAAUUCAAAAUGUAAAAGAGCCAGAAGAAAUGCUGUUAAGCAUUUUGCCAGCUGGUGCCAUCUUAAAAAUGGAAGGAUAAUAUGAAGAUUGGCUUAAUGGUUAAUGAAGAAUAAUAUGAAGACUGACCUGUUAUCUAACACAUUAUUACAAGAUGGAGAAAACUUAUAUACAAAUGUCACAACAACACCCUUUGAAAGUGUGUGUGGGUACAAUGCAUAUAUAUUCCACAACAACCGCAUCGAAGUAAUUCAAUUUCUGUGUGAAAACUCAAACAGUGCAGUUCGCCUGAACAACAUCUGAGAAUUUUUCAGGGCAACAGUGUGUGUCCGACAUGAAUAUUUCCCUUUCCUCUGCAAUAUUCUGUAUGCAUUUUCCUCAUUCUUGUUAUCCUUUCUCAACACAUGAUCCAUUCUUCUCAUCUCUCUGUUCUCUGCAUUUAAUUGUUUUCCUCUCUUUCAGCAAUGCUCCACUCAUCAAUUGGACCAUUCCCUUUUUUUUUUUUACUUUUUCCAGCCUUUUCUAGUUCUUUGGUACUAAAUUUAUUGAUCCAUGGAAAUAAAAGGUACAUUGAAACUAAGAAAAGAUUUUGACCCCAGAACAUAAAGAACAAUACCACAAAACAUUCUGUCCAGAGCUCUAUUAAUUCUGCUAACCAACAUCUGCACAAUGAUAAUAGUAAUAGAUUACAUUGAUUUUUCAUGUAAGCAUUGUCUGAAUAAUAAGAGAAAGAAGUAGAUGGAAAUCAACUACAUUAACAUUUUUACCAGUCUGCUUUAGGGUAAAUGUGGCACGAAAUAGAAGUGAUUAAAGUUGAAGCUAAUUUCUAUCACUUUAUAUCUCUGUCUCCCUCUCUCUCUCUCUCUCUCUCUCUCUUCAUUUCUCAGUGAAAAUACAUAUAUUUUACAGCAUUAUAGUGGCUUUUGCUGACAGCAAAGCAGUUUGUAUGUGUGUGUGCACUUGCAUGCACAAACACACACACUGGGUGCAAGGGGUAUUCAAAAACAAUUAUCAGUAUAUUACUCGCUUCAAACUAAUUAAAGGGUUUCCUUUUGGAUGCCAUUGCAGAUAAAAGGUUAAUAAAAGAAAUAAAAAGACGAGCAGUCAUUGUUGACACAUGUGCAAGAGCACAGAAAUUUAGGAAUUGUCAACUUUCAAAUUGUUCCAGGAUCCAUCUGAUGGGGAUGUUUCAAUUGUAUGAAAAAGAAAAGAAAAUGUUCUAAACAUAUGGAUACUAUAAAAAACACUACAACUUAUUCAGUUGGUUCAAGAAAUUAUCAAUGACAAACCCAGAGAGUCAAUGACAGUCUUUGUCAAAGAAAUUCUGGUAUCAGAGUGGACUAUAAGAAUUGAGGUAUAUGAGGAAACUUAAUACAAGCUAUGUGUAUUGAGGAUAAGUCAAUUCAUGUCUGCAAAGACAGAAAAACUGUUUGAUCCAUGACAAGCAGUUACUUAACGAACUUAAAAGCCCUCAUGAAUAUGGUAUAUUUUGGUUCUUCUUUGAUGAGAAUAACUUCAACCAAGAUGAAAAGUCUAACAGGAGAAAUGAUAAAUGGUUAUGUGCAAAUUCAUCUGAUGUCCUCAGUGUGAUUCACUCAAAGUUUCUAGUCUAUAGGUUUUAGUAUUGGUUAGUAAUGAAAGUCGUGCCAUGCCACCUCACAUCUUUCCACAAUCUUAAAAUAAGUGCUGCUGGAUAUAUUGAGAUGCUGGAAGCAAUAUUUAACCCCUAGAUCAAAGAAGGGUGUAAUGAAAGAGCAUAAUAAUUUUAAAAAGACUCAGCAAUUUUUUAAAAAGCUCACAUAAUCCAAGAAUAGAUGCCAGACAAUCAUGUAACACCAAACUUGUCAGAUUUAAAUCUCAUGGACUAAUGUAUUUUGAUCGUUGGUGAAACUAAUUAAGGGAAACUAAUCAAGUUCCUCACAGUACAAUAGCUUCACUGAAGGCUGCUAUUAUCAAGGUGAAGCUGAAAAUGAGUAAGAACCAUUUACCAUAGACAUGUCAAUGAUUCCUGUCUCACACUGAAGCAAAAAGCAAAUUUAUAGAAUAACAUCAGAAGAAUGUUAUUACUGAGAACAUGUCUCUCUUUCUCUUUUGCUUGUUUCAGUCAUUUGACUGUGGCCAUACUGGAGCACCGCCUUUAGUCGAACAAAUCGACCCCAGGACUUAUGCUUUGUAAGCCUAGUACUUAUUCUAUUGGUCUCUUUUGCCAAACUGCUAAAUUAUGGGGACGUAAACACACCAGCAUCGGUUGUCAAGCAAUGUUGGUGGGACAAACACAGAUAAUUUUUUAAGUAAUUAUCAUCAAAUAUUUCAGUACAAGUUAAGAAUAAUCCUUUAGAAAUUUAAGUGAACUUAUGUAUAAAUAUUUUAAGUAAAGCUUUUUUUUGAUAUAAAAUUUUUGGACAGCUUCAAAUGAAAUUAGGAAGAGAACUCUUUGAAUUUAGAAACAUAUCUUUUGAUGAUGUCAUAAGAACUAGUCUGUAAAAUUCAUAAUAAAUUAGUUAAUUUAUGAAGUAGUUACUGAGUUACAUUAGGAACAAAAUUCAUGGCUCUAAUUGUUUGCUUUCUUUCCCCCACCCACCAAAAAUUGAUAGACUUAUUAAAAAUUUUUCUUACUGAAUAUAGGAGUAAAUUUUCCUGUGAAAUUAUAAACUAGUUCCUCAGACAAUUCUUAUCAAGUAUAUCAGUAUAUAUAAAUCAAUAGGCCUUACAGGAAAAAUUGGAAACAAAUCUGUAAACGUAUUUAGUACAUCAAAUAAAGAAACAAUGAAUAAUUUUAUCAAUAUUGGGCAUGAAAGAAAUCAGAUAGUAGCUCCCUGAACUUUUUCCAACCUGUCUUUACUCUGGCUACUAUACUCUCAAAGCUACCACCUCCCAUGCUAAUUAUAUCUCCUAGGUAACAGAGGCUAUUGACUACUUAUAGUGAGCCAUCAAAGCAUUUAAGAGAAUCUAUUUCCGGUGUGCUCAUAGUAUGUACCACUCCAAUACAUCGGUCACAUAUGAAGCUUUCUUUGUUAGUCUGCCCAUGAUUCCAUUUACAUCUCUUGUGUGUCCGUUGCUUAGAAUAGGUACAGGCUAUGGAGUUUAUACCUACUCCUUCUCUGCAAAUCUUACAAAGCCAUUUCCCUAAAGGUUCUAGGGUCCCAUGUUCUUUCCAAUUUACUAAAACCUUAGUAUUUGCUAAGUUUACUUUGAGAUUACUUCAUAGCUUCUGUAUUAUGAAUCUCCAUUUUAAUCCCAUUAUAGUUUUAGCUCUGCGAAUUAAGUCAUCAGUAUACAGAAGCUCCCAAGAACAUCCAUUCUUAAAUUCCUCUGUUAUAAGCUGUAGGACUAUUUUGAAUUUGAGGAGACUAAAGAUUAAAUCUUGAUGGAUUCCUACUUUUGCACGAAAUUUGUCACUGAAAUUGUAGUUGACUCUCACUUACUGCAUCCUUGUACAUAGCUUGUACAGAGCUUGUACAGAGCUAUACAUGUAGGAAUAUGCAUGUGUGUCCAAGACCUUUGGAGAUACGGUGUGCUUCAGAAGACCCGGCAAGCCAAGGUAGAUUAUUGCCAUGGCUAAUGCCAGUGUCAAUUGACUGGCUUCUCUGUCAGUGGCAUGCAAAAGGUACAAUUCAAGCGUGGUCGAUGCCAGUGCCACCUGACUGACACCCAUGCUGGUGGCACAUAAAAUGCACCAGUCUUGUAUGUAUAUGUAUGUAUAUAUAUGUAUGUAUGUGUGUGUGUGUAUAUAUAUAUAAAUGUAUAUGUGUAUAUAUAUACAUAUGCAUAUAUAUAUAUAUAUAUAUAUAUAUAUAUAUGCAUAUAUAUAUAUAUAUAUAUAUAUAUAUAUAAUCUAUUUUAAUGCAUCACUACACACAUUUCCAUAAAUUGCAUGUUUCUAAUGAUCAUAGUCCAUACUCCUAAGAUGAUUGCAGUACAAUCUGUUCAUUUCAUCAGGCAAUAUAGCUAUAUCACCUGAUGAAAUGAAUGCAUGAACUAUGAUCCACCUGAUGUCUAUGGAUACUACAGAUUGUGCUGUAAUAAUCCCAGGAACAUGGACAAUGUUUGUAAGAAACAUGAUUUGUAGAAACCUGCAUAAUGAUGUAUUAAAAUAUUUAGAAGUUCCAUCCAUGGAUUAUUAUUAUUAUUAUUACAUUUAUUACACAUUAUACCACCCCACCUUGAUACAACCCAUAAAACUGCUUUUGCAAUUUGGUAUCAUUAGACUCUAGCUGGCAUAAUAAAAUUGGAGUGUUUAUAUGUGUACUCAAAAACAUUUCCUGAAACAAACUUAAAGUAUAUAUAUAUAGAUAUGCAUUUUCAGUGGUUUUGGAGGGUGUGGUAAUUUAAUAAAAGGACUCUGAUAUAGCAAAAGUUAAAUGUAUUUUAAAAAAGUACAUAGGCGUAGAAGUGGCUGUGUGGUAAGUAGCUUGCUUAUGAACCACAUGGUUCUGGGUUCAGUCCCACUGUGUGGCCACCUUGGGCAAGUGCCUUCUACUAUAGCCUCGGGCCGACCAAAGCCUUGUGAGUGGAUUUGGUAGAUGGAAACUGAAAGAAGCCUGUCAUAUAUAUGUGUGUGUAUAUGUGUUUGUGUGUGUGUGGUGUAUGUUUGUGUGUCUGGGUUUAUCCCCCGCAACAUCGCUUGACAAUUGAUGCUGGCAUGGUUACGUACCUGUAACUUAGUGGUUCAGCAAAAGAGACCUAUAGAAUAAGUACUAGGCUUACAAAGAAUAAGUCCUGGGGUCGAUUUGCUCAACUAAAGGCAGUGCUCCAGCAUGGCCUCAGCCAAAUGACUGAAACAAGUAAAGAGUAAAGCAAAUGUGAAUUUUUCAAUUAAUACUAUAAUCCUUUCUACUGUAGGCACAAGGCCUGAAAUUUGAGAGGUGGGGACAAGUCAGUUUCAUCGACCCCAGUACACAACUGGUACUUAUUUUAUACUAUAAUGAGGACAGAAAAUACAAAAUAUCUUUUCAAUGUUAUUGCUCUGUUGUUGUUGUGUGUGUGUGUGUUUGCCCACAGAUAUCUAAUUAUGAAUAAACAUCCAUAAAUAUUUAUGCCUCUGCAAUAGAUAUAUUUAGAGCACCCAGUAGAAAAAUAUCCAGCUUGGAAGUUAAAAGUUUGUUUUUAAUUACUAACUCUGCAUCUUUGCAACACCUGAGUAUAACAGGUGGAGAGCAUGAAAAGAGGAACUGAAAAUGCUUAUUUUCCACUUUUUCUUGAAGCUCAAAAAACUAAGCUGAAUAACAAAUUACUCAUUUCUAUUACUAUUAGGCAAUUUUUUUGAAAGGCAAAUAAUGCUAGUCAUGGAAUUUUUAGGAGAAAACAACAAAGAUAGUUUACUAUUGCCUUCCUUUGGGUGUUUUUUCCCUCCCUUUACAAGACAACCAUGCUGUCAAGUUUAGCCAAUUUUGAGAAAGUGGAGGAGUGAAUCAGGGUGAGAGAGAAAGAAAGGACAAAGCAGAAUAAUCCCAGUUCUUGACUUGUACUUUAUUUAUUCUAAAGAGCUGAAAGAUACAACUGACUUUGCAUGGGAUUUGAACUCAGAGCAUGAGGGACUGAAAUGAAAUACUCUAUGACAUUCAUCUAUUAGAUACCUUAAAGUUAUAGUCAAUUCAAGGUAUUUAAUAAUUAAUAAGCUUGGUUAUAUCUGCUGCAUAACAAAAAUAUUACAAUGACACAUACACAUCCCAGCAACACACACACACAUACAUAUAAUAUAUAUAUAUACACACACACACCGUGCUUGAGAAGAUAUAUAUAUAUAUAUAUAUAUAUAUACAAGGGUGUGGUUAGAAGCUUGCUUUUCAACCACUUGGUUCCAGGUUUUGUCCCCCUCUGUGGCAUCUCGGACAAAUGUCUUCUGCCAUAGCCUGAAACCAAUCAAAGCCUUUUGAGUGGAUUUGGUAGACGGAAACUGAAAGAAGCCUAUCAUAUAUCUGUAUAUAUAAAUAUAUAUAUAUAUAUAUAUGUAUAUAUAUAUAUAUAUAUAUAUAUAUAUAUAUAUACAUGUGUGUAUUUGUUUGUGUGUCGGUGUUUGUCCACCCAACAUCGCAUGACAACUGAUGCUGGAGUGCUUACAUACCCGUAACUUAGCGGUUCUGCAAAAGAGACCAAUAGAAUAAGUACUAGGCUUGCAAAGAAUAAGUCCUGGGGUCGAUUUGCUCAACUAAAAAAGGCAGCACUCCAGCAUGGCCACAGUCAAAUGACUGAAACAAGUAAAGAGUAAAGCUAGUGAAAAAAACAGACUAAUACAUUUCAGAAGAUAUGUUUCAGCAUCUCAUGAUGCUGAGUUGAAAUAAAAGACAAUCUACUAUGAAUCAUUAGAGUUGAUAUCCUUCACAUGAAGAAAAGAGAUUCCCCAUUAUAUUUAGUUGUUUUGCUUCAAAUUUUGAGUUGGCAAUCUGUUAUGGGUUGACUUCUACUCUCACCAGUUUCUCCUACCUAAUAAUUCAAUAAAUCAAGUGUUAGCAAUAUACUGGGAUUGUGUCAAUCAAUUAUAGACUCUUUCGUUUCUCUCUCUCUCUCUCUUUACAAAGCAAAAGUAUUUUAGAUAAUUUACAAAAAAAAAAUAUAUAUUGAUUUGCCUUAGCUAUUCUGGUGAUAUUCUAUUGAAAUUAUCUCCCUUCACUAACAGCUCUACUCAAGAAUGAACUCGUGUGUCCAAAUAGACAGAUGUGUACUUAGAUAUAAUAUUUACUGUUGUGGUGGCGUAAAUUAUAUUCUUAAUGAUGAUGAUGAGGUUGGCUGGUAUCAAAAAUAGUCAAUAUUCAGAGGUGUGCAGGUGCCAGUUAAUGGUGGUGAUGGUGGAAAUUAUGAGUGAAGAAGUGGAGGAAAUUAUGAGAUAUGGAUAAUAUAAUGGUGAAUUAAAUUUAAAAUCUGCUAAUAUGCAUGAAAUGAAUGCUUAUGGAGUUGUUGCUGGUGUUGAUCAUUAGGUUUGUGGUAGGUCCAAGGCUUGCUGAGUCAUUAAUGACAGUAACGGUAGGUAUACUGUGUGAUAAUUCUAAUGGAGGGAUGGGUAUUAAUUAUGUUUAUAAUAAAGGUUAAUUGAAAAAUUGAUGAUCAAUUGAUAUUGGAAUGAAUUUUAUGGAAUUAUAAAUUUAAAUAUUUUACAUAGAUAUAAAGACCUCAGCCUCAUAUUUACAGAAAAGAAAUGUUGUUUGAUGACUAUGCUUUUUUGUAAUAUUGACUUACAAGUAAAUAUUGACAUAUAAAUAAAUGUUAAUAAAAUAGUGAUAUCUCUAUGACAUAUUUUCAAAACUUACAAUGUGAUUGCUGAAAAAUUAUUGCAGUCUUGAGAUGAAAGUAUAUAUAUAUAUUUUUUUUUUUGCUACUAGCUGAUGUUAUAAAAUAUGUUAACAAUUGUGUUGUCAUCUGAAAACCAUAAAGUUUUUAUGAAGUCAUUUAUCUAGUUUUUAUAUAUAUAUAUAUAAAAAGGAGUAGUUUUUAUAGGACUCAAGAGCAAUUUUCUACAAAUAAAGCUCUUGUGUGAUCAUAUACAAAAGCAAAGUUGUUGUAAGGUUAUCUCAGAAUACUUAUUUACCAAUGGAGAUGUUAACCAAAUUAUUAUAAAGUCAUCUGACACUCACCGAUUACUAACCAAGCCUGUUAACUGUAACUUUUACUUCUUUCAGUCACUGUACUACAGCCAUUCUGGGGCACUGCGAUUUCUAAAUUCUAUUUUCAUUUUUAAAUACCAAAUUGCUGGAAAAUUUCUUUACUGGAAUUAACAUCCUUCAAAUACAUACUUUGUCUAAGUCUUACAUAAUUAUCCCUGAAUGGAUUCUUGUAACCACUUAACAUACUUGACAUGUUGAUGGUUCCCUAAUUGAUUGCAAUAUUUAACUUUAGGGUUCUACUAUAUUAUAUCAAACCAUUUUUCAUAUAAAAAAUAUCACGUAUUGACACAUUCCUGCUUAAUAUCUGCUUAAGUCUGAAACUGAAAGGAAGACACCACAAAAACUCAAAAUAGACUUCAAAGCAAAAGAUAAACAAAAAAUAAACAAGCUUUAGAAACCUUUAGAAAAGCCAACUCUUUUAUCUCCUAUUUAGGGCAGGGUGGAACUAAGAUAAUCUCUAUAUAAAAUAGGACAUAAAAAAUAAACAAACCAAAGAUGCUAAGAAAGAGAAAAAUAAAAAAUACAAAAAGGUGAGUAUGUCAUACAUGGAUAUGGUGGCUUAGAAAUAGAAGAUGGUUAUUUAUCUUCUCUGUGAAUAAUAGUAAAACAGUUAUAUAUAAAGAUUCCUUUCUGAUCUGCUAAUGAAGCAAACAGAAAAAAAUAUUAGAUCAAACAGGGAAUGAAAAGAAAGAAAGGAAAAUGAAAAUGGAAGCUAGACUAUUUCUUCAUCUGUCUGGUCUUUGUGUUUUAUUGAAAAAUAUGAAUAAGAAUGUUGUCCAAACUCAGCGAAGCUUAGCUGAUAAGGUGAUGGCGUAAAAGAAGGUGAAAGAGCAAAUCUAGUCGCCCGUUCACUGUUUUGUCUGGUGUUAAGAGAAGCGAACACUUUACCGGUGCUGUACCAAGGUUGAUAAUCUAUUCACAUCAGCUCUAAUGUGUGAAUGUUUUUAAAGUUAACAUAACCUAAUGGGUUUAACAUAAGAUUAACUACCAGUCUUUCUUUUCAUUAUAUCUUAGAUAAAAAAUGAUAAGCACAACAGUGAAUUAGGAAUUUCUAUUCAGACAUAAGACAUCUCAUUUUAGUAGGUUCAGUACCAGUAAUAUUUUUGCUGAAUCAAUAUAGUAUCACCAAUUGUACAGUGUAGAUGAGGGGUUUAUAAUAUAUAUUGAUUCAACAAAAAUAUCACUGUACCGAAACCUUGUAUCCAAUAAUCUGAACUUGGAAAUACUGCUGUAACAAAAUGUAUUUUGGUAGUUUUGUAUGCCAGGGAUAACUGCAUCAAGAGCUGUGAGUGUUACAUAUACUACGAUCAUUUUGAGCAAAAGGAAUGAGCUAGAUUAAAUAAGUGAUUAGAGGAAUUUUGUAGCCAGAAAAUUAUGAGACGGAUUUAGCUGUUAAUUGAUUAAAUAUUAAUAACUGAACAAGUGAGGAGAAGUUAGCAAGAUAACAAUGUGCAAGAGAGCUUGUAAAAAAUCCAGUGCCUUUAGUUUUGGUUCAACUCCUAGAUAAAUCAUAUAUCAAGCUCCAUGUGCUAUUUAAUUUACUAUAUAAAGUAGAAAACUGACUCAAAUAAGAAGAGAUGAAUUUACAGUUGUAACUUUGAUAAUAAGAGAAAAAAAAAAGGGAAAACUGAGUAAUAGGUAUGCUUGACUGGGGUUCACCUUGGAGUUAAACAUCAACAGCAACUCUUAAAUUGGUUAAUUCUGCAUCAAUAAGUCCUGUGAAAAAGAAUUUUCACUGACCUGGGAUACUCAAUAACAGAAACUAUACUUCUACUAAUACUAUCAGCAUCAUUAAUAAUGUGGAGGCGCAUGGCUUAGUGGUUAGGGUGUCAGCAUCAUGAUCGUAAGAUUGUGGUUUUGAUUCCUGGACUGGGUGAUGCAAUUUUCUUUUUGAGCAAAACACUUCAUUUCAUGUUGCUCCAGUCCACCCAGCUGGCAAAAAUGAGUAACGCUGCGAUGGACUGGCGUCCAAUCCAGCUGGGGAACACAUACGCUAUUGAAACUGGGAAACCAGGCCCAUGAGCCUGGCUAGGCUUUAAAAGGGUGCAUUUAUUUAUUUUAUUAUUUUAUCAUUAAUAAUAUUUCUGUUUUGACUGAUGGUUUACAUGCCCAUAGUGUUGCUUCAUCAAUGUUGAUCUGGUGCUGUGCAACAUCUCUAGUAAAGUUAGGCAAUGCUAUGAAAUUCAGUAGAACUUCAUAGCAUCAGUGCCUCAACUAACAAUAUUUCUAUUAAAACCAUACUUCUGAUUUAAGCUCAGCUGUUUAUCUUGCUCAUCCUAUAAUCACAUCCAUAUCUGCCAGCUCAUAUUACAUGACCUCUUCUGACCUUCCUCAUACCUUUAACCAUUUUCUAUGCCAGUUCCUGAAUUGUAAAGUUUUUAACUAACAUUUGAAGAGUUCACUGUUUGGUAAAACUGCAACAUUUGUUACUUCUAUCUUCAAUAAAUAUUUUCAUUUCUUUUUGCCCCUUUUUUCUUCUUUUUUUUAUUUUCUCUUCUCUUGAAAGAAAAUUAUUAAAAUUUGUAGUGUCAGAUUUUAAAGGAUAGUAUUACACCUUCUUCUCGACUUACAACUGAGUUCUGUUUUGACUGACAGGUAAUUAGUUAAUCUGGUCGUAAUUAGUUAAUCUGGUCGUAUAUUGAGAAAUAUUUAUAUUUUUCAACACUAUUUUCAUUUAAGUGGAACAGAUACUUGAAAGCAACUGAGUCAGAGACAGUGGCAUACAGUGGAUGCCUGGAUCUGAAGAAGUCCUGCAUUGCCAGAUGCUGUCAUAGUUACCAUACACACAGCUACCCAGCAUCUGAAAAUCGAUUUUUUAUUUAUUUUAUCCUUUUAUUCCUUUAUUCUUUUAUUUGUUUCAGUCAUUUGACUGUGGCCAUGUUGGAGCAUCACCUUUAGUCGAAUAAAUUGACCCCAGAACUUAUUCUUAGUAAGCCUAGUACUUAUUCUAUCAGUCUCUUUUGCCGAACCGCUAAGUUACGGGGACGUAAACACACCAGCAUCAGUUCUUAGGCAAUUGUGGUGGGACAAACACAGACACAGAAACACACACACACACACAUAAAUAUACAACAGGCUUCUUUCAGUUUCUGUCUACCAAUCCACUCACAAGGCUUUGGUUGGCCUGAUGCUAUAGUAGAAGACACUUGCCUAAGGAGCCAUGCAGUGGAACUGAACCCAGGACCAUGUGGCUGACAAGCAAGCUACUUACCACUCAGCUACUCCUGUGCCUAUGAUUUAUUUAUUUAUUUAUUUAUUUUUCUAUUUCCUUAUUUUUGAGGUCAUAAGUGUGGAUGGUCGUAAGUCUCAUAGGUUUAAGUCAAGGCAAAGGUGUAUUAUAAAACAUGUUUUAAUCAUAAAGGAUGAGGCAUAUUAAUGCAAACUCAUUAGGAGAAUGACAACUAGCUAAUUAGCAAAACAAAUACAUUGACACAUGGACAAUAAAUAAGAGAUCUGAAAAUAAUAAAACAUUCAAGGAUAGAAGGAAAAUAUUAAUGAUACUAUAUUUUCAAAGUAAAACAGCUGUUAGAAAUGUUUUAUUUCUCCACUUAAAAUGUGAUUUUAUUUGAGUAAGAUAACUACUUCUCUUUUCUCAUCAAUGUUAUUCCUGUCUGUCAAGUCAACUGGAGACAGAUGGUAGACAAAAUAGCUGUUUUAUGAUAUUUAGUUUAGCACAUCAUAUUUAUGAGUUCAAAUUUCAUUACUCUGACUGGUUGAUAAAGUUGAAACCUGUAGACUGAUGUCUAUCUUUGCGAUAACUUUUUCUCACAGUAGCAUGCAUGGCCCAAAGGUGGGUUGUAGUAAUAUAUUGGUGGAGUGUGGUUUACUUCAGAAUGAGGGGCAUAAGAAACAAACAAGAGAAUAAAACUAUAAAUCUUUAAUUAAAGCCUUUUCCAAAUAUAUAUUUCUUUUCUUUUAUUUUAUUUUAUUUUACUUGUUUCAGUCUUUUGACUGUGGCCAUGCUGGAGCACCGCCUUUAAUCGAGCAACUCGACCCCAGGACUUAUUCUUUGUAAGCCCAGUACUUAUUCUAUCGGUCUCUUUUGCCGAACCGCUAAGUAAUGGGGACAUAACCACACCAGCAUCGGUUGUCAAGCAAUGCUAGGGGGGCAAAUACAAACAUACACGCACACAUAUAUAUACAUAUAUACGACGGGCUUCUUUCAGUUUCCAUCUACCAAAUCCACUCACAAGGCUUCGGUCGGCCCGAGGCUAUAGUAGAAGACACUUGCCCAAGGUGCCACGCAGUGGGACUGAACCCGGGACCAUGUGGUUGGUAAACAAGCUACUUACCACACAGUCACUCCUACGCCUAUAUAUAUAUAUAUAUAUAUAUAUAUAUAUAUAUAUAUAUAUAUAUAAAUUUUUUUUUUCUGAAUGAGAUAAAAAACCAAGGCUCUGAAGAUUUAAGAACAUUUAUAAAUAGAAGGUCUUACAGCUGUUUCCAGGAUAUUUAUUAUAUCCCUUCAUCGGAGACGGUGUGAGAAAAUGUUUAAGCAAUAGUUAAUUUAGAUAAGAUACGAAAUAGAGAGUGAAGUAGAGGAAUGAAAAUAGAUGUGAGAUACACAGGGAUAUUGCAUUUAUAGAUCUAUUAUUUAGGCAGAAUGGUAUACAUAUAAGAUUCCAAUACCUUAUGAGUAAAAUCCAAUAGUAUCUAGAAUUGGUCAUUCCAAGUAUAGAGUUUGUACACAGUGCUAUUGAAUCAAGGGUUUCAUUGACUUUAAAUAAAACUCUUGAUUCAAUAGCACUGUGUACUAACUCAAUACUUGGAAUGACCAAUUUUAGAUACUAUUGGAUUUUACUCACAAGGUAUUGGAAUCUUAUAUGUAUACCGUUCUGCCUAAAUAAUAGAUCUAUAAAUGCAAUAUCCCUGUGUAUCUCACAUCUAUUUUUAUUCCUCUACUUCACUCUCUAUUUCGUAUCUUAUCUAAGUUAACUAUUGCUUAAACAUUUUCUCACACCGUCUCUGAUGAAGGGAUAUAAUAAAUAUCCUGGAAACAGCUGUAAGACCUUCUAUUCAUAAAUGUUCUUAAAUCUUCACUAUGGUCUAUCCAUAGCACUUACUCAGCAUUACCUGACACCUUUUGGUCUUACUGACAUCAUUACCUCUCAUAACCUAUAUAUAUAUAUAUAUAUAUAUAUAUAUAUAUAUAUAUGUAUGAUGAUGAUUGCCUCAUCUUGUCAGAUGAUCAUGUCCAGUAAAUUCACUGUCAUCAAUUCACCAUUUUUUUCAAUAAAAUAGAUUUUUAACUAUUAAUGGUGAGUUACUAUGGAUAUAUUUUCUCAGUAAACUUUCUGCAUGGUGAAAUUUCUUCACAGUGAAUUGAUGGUGGUGAACACUCCAGUGUUGAACUGAUGGUGAUGAAUUUACCUGUAAUCCAGACGAUAGACAUCUUAUAUGAUAGUGAGACAUUUGUAUGUUAUUAGAUUUAAGUGACAACAGUUUGUAUGACACUUUUGCCAUUCUUUCAGUCACCAUAGUAAGUUCCAGUGACAAGCAUUACAAAGUGACUGCAUCUUUUAUGUCAGAGUAUCUUUCUUCUAGAAGAGCUGCCUUCCCAAUGGCAUUGUCAAAAAUAACUGGAGCAUCCCCACCAGAUGUAGUUUCAUGUCAUGCAUGCGCAUGUGCACACACACACACACACACACACACAAAUUUUGCUUGUUCAUAGUGUAGUGCAUUUUUUGUUUUUGAAAAUUGAAGUGGAGGUCAGAUAAAAAAUAGCUGAGAAACACUGUUGUAAAUGUAUAUAUAUACAUAUAUGCAGUCCAUGUAAAUAUAACCAACAAAUAAAGUGUUUUGUAACCAUCAACAAUUUUGACAGUGUAAUCUAGUUAAGAUAUAAUCAAUUUGGUUAACAUCUAGAGGUUAUCUUUUUGUACCCUACAAAUUCAAGUUAUAUUUAACAAGUAAAGCUGUGGCUCUCUUGACAUCUAUAAGUAGUAUCAUUUCACUCAACAAUUAGGGGCACAUUUUUUCUUUUACUUCAUUUCCUAGUUGUGUUUUUAAACCAGUCAUGCCUUUAACCUUCCUGCCUGCUGACAACAUAUAUAUUAUUAGAACUUCUUUUGUUGUCUCUAAAAGGAUUCAGAUACAGAAAUGUGAUACAGGGAAUAUUGUGAAAUAUCUUGUGCAACUCUUUAGCAAAUACAUUACUUUACCUUAUCUUUUUAAUAGAUAUAUUGGCAGGAUUUCAACUUAGAAUAUAAAAGAACAGAACCAAAUGCUAAUAAGCAUUUAAUUUAGUGUUUUUGUCACUCUAACAUCUUUAAUAAAUAUUUAUUUGUUAUGCAAGCUUAUAAAAACAAAAUAAGGCUUUAUUUAAUAAAGAAUCAGAUAUGGCAAACAACUAUAUAAUAAAACUAAUAUUAAUUGCAUUUUCUUUUGAAUAGGUAUGAGAUUAAUAUUUUUGAUACAAUUAAGUAUAGUUUAUAACUGACAUUUAUUUCAUUUGACCUGAAGGGAUGAAAAACUUGAUGUUAGUGGUCUUAAACUGAAAAUAAAAAAAAGAAACAAAUAAGAAAUUUAAUUUGGAGCUCUAGCAUUUCAGCUAAAUUACCAACAAAAUAUAAAUGAUAAUAAAGGUGUGUGUGACUAUUAUGAUGAUCAUGAUGAUGACAAUAUACUAUCAUCAGAGCAGAAAGUAGAAAGUAGAAUAUUGUAAGGACCAAUUAUUAAUAAACAAAUUGAUAUUCUGGAUUUGUAAAAAUGACAUAAGCCUUGUAUUGGCAUGUGUCAGUUAUAAAGAUGUCUAUGAUAUGAUUCCUCCUUCUUAGAUUAUAGAAUGAUUGUAAAUGAUAAGUGCAGCAGAAAAUAUAAGGAAACUCAAAGAAAAGCAUAUGAGUCACUGGAAAACAAAUUCAAGAUCUUCUGGGAGAUUUAAGAAGUAUUAAGAUCAAUAUAAGCAUUUUCCAAAAUUUUGCUUUGCCCCACUUUUUUUUUAUGUGGGAUACUGUUAAUAUUAGUAGUAUGAAUAACAAUGAAAGACAUGCAGCACAGAAUCAUGUAUCUAUGGAUAACUUAAAACUGUUUGCACAAAGCAGCUAUAAAAUGGACUCUUUAGUACAAAUACUAUAUAGAUUAAGUGAAGGCACAGAGAUAAAAUUUUUGGAUUUGUGAGUAUGAAAUAUUGAUUAUGAGGAGAGAGAGGAAAGUAAAAAGUAAUAGAUUCCAAUUAUCUAAUAACAAAGAUAUAAAACAGAUAGGUACAGGUAAUUAUGUAUCAUAGAGCUAGACAAUAAACAAAAGUAGCAUGAAGGAAAUGGAUACAAAGAAAUAGGUCAAAAUUAGAGUUAAAUUCUAUACUAAAUGGGAAAGCUAAAACCCUUGCUAUUAAUGUAUGUACCAUAUUUUUACAAUUUAAAAUUUUUUUUUUUAUUUAUUUCCUAUGUUAUUUGAGUUACUUUCUUCUAUUCAAUGUUAUCUACUUUUGAUUUAGGAGAACAUUACUGAAAACAAAGUUUAUUUCUAUUGUCUAACUCAUUCAAUAGUCUACAUCUUAAUUUUGCAUCAAUCUUUCUAUCUAAAUUCAUUUUGAUAUAUUGAUAGUAAAAUAAAGAGUAGGUUAACUUGGGCUGGAAAACUCAAAAAAUAACGAUCAGAUAUAGAGCAUUACAUAUCAUAAAUGAUGGUAGUACAAUAUAUAAAAGUUGUACAAAAAAAGAAAAAAAUUCUGAGGAUUAUUUGGUAGGGAAAAAUAUAUAUAGAAGAACGGAAUUUGUGUUGCAUGAUACACAAAAAAUGAGUGUUGAAUCACUACAAGAAGGGAUAAAAACAAAGAAAAAACCCCAAAAAACACUGGAAUAGUCAAAGCAUAACUAUGUAUAGCACUUGAAAAAUUCAAGAAAACUUAUCUUGAAGAGAGUUUGGGAGCUAAUGAAAAUAUGUGAGCAGUGUUUUGCUUUGGCCCUUUUGUUAUAUGUGAGAUACUGUUAAUAGCAAUGAAGGGCAUUAAGCACAAACUCAUUUACUUAUGGGAUACCUUAAAAUUGUUUUCACAAAGCAACUGUAAAGUUUACUCGUGGGUGAAGGCAUUAAUUUCUUUAAUUUAUUGUCAUUGGUAAGAAAAUCAUUUAAAAACUGAAGUACUGGUGUUUAUAGCACAAAAACAGGCUCUAAGGAUAAACUCUAGAAAAUUUCCUGUAGAUAAAAAUACUGAGCCAUCAUUAUGUAAGAAGUGCUACAACAAGCAUGCAAGUGUGGUAGUAAAUUGUCUUACAAUUGAUGAUGUUGCAUGAAUUGUCCACCAGCAGAAAGUUGAAUAGAGAAUAAAAAUAAUUGAUUUCAAAGUCAAAAUUUUCAGGGAUUUCAACAGAUAAAGCAACCAUAUGACAGACAGUAGGAAACCAGAAAUUGUUGUGGAGACAAGAAGUAAUGAGUGUCAUUGAUAAUGUAAUAAACAGAAAUACUGAGGCUUAUGAAAAUUUAUGAGAUUGCAUGUAUGUGUACAUUAAAAAAAUUGGUGCAAUAUCAGUAAAGUAGGAUCUCCCACUACUGACUUGGUCACCUAGGUAUUGGAAGCUAUCAACUACUUGUAGUUUUUCCCCUUGGGAUGUCACAGAAGCUGUUUUCUGCACGUUUUCAGUGUUUAUUGCUCCUGAGCAUUUUCCACACACAAAAUCUAUCUUCCCAGUUAGCCUUCCUUUUGAAAUUGCUGCACCUCUUAUGUGUUCAUAGUUUACACUGGGUACAUCUUAUGGAGUUUCUACCUACACCUUGUCUACAGAUCAAGCAGGGCCAUCAACCUGAAGGGAUUUGUGAUUUGUCUGCCUUCCUACUUACUAAGACUUUGGUUUUUGCUAGGUUGACUCUAAGGCCCUUAGAUUAUUUUUAUUAAAGUAGAAAUUGAAAUUAAGAUAAAAUACUUAAAAAUAAAGUUAGCUAGGGACAACUAGAAUACCAAGAAGAGUUCAGAAAUGGAAAAUACUCAACAGAAUCAGCAAAAAUAUUUAAUGACUCUAGUGUAUUUUACUCUGAAACAUAGAACUCUCUGGUAUAACAUUUUAGAACAUAGUAAGGAAAUGUGAUGAUGUUAAUAGUCUCAAAAUUAAGCACAAAUUUGAGAAGGCAGUUAGUCAAUUAAACUGGCACAAGAGCUUGACUGGCAUUUAUCUUAUUGAUCCUGGAAGAACAAAAGGCAAGGGGAACUCAGUAAGAGUUGAACUCAGACUGUAAAGAGCAAUAACUAAAUACUACCAAGCAUUUUGUUCAACAGUCUAAUGGUUCUUCGAAAAAUUUUCUGCCAUUCUACAUUUCUACAUUGUACUAUUCCAAAACUAAGAUUGAUACUGCUGCCAACGUUUGAGCCAUUAACCCUAUUAUCUUUAGCUAAGUAACCUGCCAAGAAAUCUCAGUCACGACAUUGCCUUUUAAUUAACUCUUCCUCAAAGCUACUGCUACAUUCAAAGUUAAAAGCAAUAGAUUAAUUUCCGUAAACUUUUAAAGGCAGACACCCAACUGAAAUACUGACUUGAAAGAAACUUUCAACAAUAAUCCAUUUAUGACACUGACAGAAUAAGGCAUUUAGUUGUUAAUCUAGAUACUUCUAUUAUUAAUUUUUGUAUUUUUAACAUUUGUUUUUCCACACCCCAUACCCUUUAUUUUAUUUGCCAUACUGUUGAUAAGUCUUGAAAUGUCAUGAAGAAUUCUCUUUUUCCUUCUUUCUCUCUCUCACUCAAAUCUCCUCAAUCUCCAUUGUCUGUUUGUUAUAGAUUUAUGUAGUUCUCUAGCUGUUGGUAGCUGAAAACUUGAAGUGUUUUAGAAUCUACUGACUGUUAUUAAUACAUCUGUUCUCAUGGAGACUGAAAAGCAGUCAGAAUUACAAAUCAUUUAUGGAUUACUGAAGAACUUGUCUUCAAUUUAGUCAAAAUAGACUAUCUGACAAUGAGAUCAAGAAAUAUUGAAGCUUUAUAAAGCUGUGUUAAUCAAAAUCUUAAGAAAAUUGAAAUAAAAAUGAAAAUAGCAAAAAUAAAAACAGAAACAAAUGUAUCACACACACAUAUACACACAGAUAGAAAGGGUUGUACUUUUAAAUUACAAAUUUUAUCACGCAAAACUGGGAGGAAUAUUGAACAAUUUGAAAAAGUGUCAGGAAAAGAGAGAAUAUUUACCUUUCUACUACUACUUUUAGUAUAGAAUUAUUUCUUUGUAUUUACUUGCAUAUGCACACGUAUAGACUGCAGUGGUGUGAAACUUGAGUCAAGAGACAAAGGUUCAGUUUCAAUAAAAGAAUAUCCUCUACAGCAUGUAUUGAGAACUCUUCUCUCCUUCAUCUAACAUCAACCAAUGUAUGUACAUGUGUGUAUGCCACAAACUCUCUUUCAAUUGCCUGUGUGCUUACAUGCCACCAAUCACAUUGAAUUAUCAUAUCUCUCUUCACUUUUGUUCUAUUUAUGCAAAUUACUUAUGGCUAUAAAUGUUCAUUUGAUUACUUAUUUGGUUAACGAUGAUUUUAUUUAAUGCUAGUAUGGGUUAGACAGGGAAUUAUUUGAGACAAUAUGUUACAGCCUAACACUCUUUCUGUUGCCAACCCUUUGCAGUUUUUCAAGCAAGGGAGUUUUUAUUCAAGAAGUUUCCUAUUUCUUUAUUGCCUACAAGGGGCUAAACACAGAGAGAACAAAGGACAGACAAAUGGAUUAAGUCGAUUAUAUCGACCCGAAUGCAUAACUAGUACUUAUUUAAUCGACCCCGAAAGGAUGAAAGGCAAAGUCGACCUCGGCGGAAUAUGAACUCAGAAUGUAGUGGCAGACGAAAUACCGGUAAGCAUUUCGCCUGGCGUGCUAACGAUUCUGCCAGCUCACUGUCUUAUGCCGUAUCCAAAAACACAGGAACAACAACCAGUCAUAAUCUCAACAAGGAAUGUCAACAUCAUCUUCAUGUCAUUCAAACAGUGACAAGCGUGGACUGUUAACAGUCAUGCACGUACACACAAUGUACUUCUUGCAGUUUCUGUUGGCCUAGAGCUACUGAACUUAAAACCAUGUGGUUGAGAAUCAAACUUUUUUUGUAUAUAUUAAAACCUUAUGUUGGCUAAAAUCAUGGCUGGACAACUGCUCUGUUGAUGGCUCUCAUUGAGGCAGAAACACAUGCUCACAGCUAUCCGAUUGUUUCCCCUCCCCUCCCAUAAAAAGAAAAAAAAUUCACUGUUCCUGAAGAAUGGCAAGUCAAUUCAAAAAAGUUCUUUAUUCUUGAGAUUAUAGCAUCUCAUUCAAAGCCAGUCACAACUGCCAUCAGGCAUUUGUUUGUCUCUCAAAUCAAGAAUUUAUCUCAUAUGGUAUUUAAUAUAUCUUUAUUGAUUAUUGUUGCUCAAAUUCAUGCUAUUUCUCUCAAGUAGUUUCUGUCCUAUGUCAGUAUGUGUGUUAAUGUUUUUGUACUAAAAUACAUUUCUUUUAUUUCAUUGUUCUUUUUUCUUUGUUUUCUAACUUCAGGUUAUGACUGGCCUUAGAGAUUUACCAAAAAUACAAUGGAAUUAAAAGAAAUAAAGAAAAUCAAGAUCAAAUUUUGUUGCUGUCUUUCUUUUUAUCUAUAUUUCUAAACUAACGAAGGUAAUACUUAAACAUCUAUAAUUCAUCAUUUUUUUUUUUUAACAGAACUGAACGAACUAGACAGUAAUGAGACUUACCAUGUGAUGGUGAAAAUAUUUAAUUUCACUAAUUUCAUUUGAAGCUACAUUUAUUUUUUGUAAAUGUCCUCCUUCCCUGCCUCUGUAACUCAAGUAAUCUAAUUUUUUUUUUACUGUAUAUGAAAGAGAACUCCAGACAGGUUUUGAUAUUAUUAUUAUCAGCAAGGUAUAGCUGACAGAACUGCUAAGUAAAUGUAGAAUGCAUAUUUUCUUCUCUCCAGUGGUUAGUGAUUGUUCUCUUUACACACACACACACAUGCAUAUCAAGAAGAAGUUGAGCUAAAAGACAAUGGAUUAUUCCUUGUUAGAGUUCUGAUUGAUGGUGAACUUCACUAUACCUUGGUGACUUCAAGGAAAUGUAAAAACAUUAAACUAGAUGCAUUGCAAUGUUGGUUCUAGAUCACAGCAUCCUGAUUCAGAUUUUGCCAUAAGCUACGUAGGUGCUAGACUUAACCUGGUACCUGCUUUAAUGCCACUGCCUGGCACCUCGGGCACUUUUAGUGGAGUUCUCUCUGUUGCCAGCCUUCAGUUCCUGGUUUUGCCAAGUUCCUAGUUUCAGGAUACCUCACUCCAUAACUUCCACAGAGUUACCCUUCUACAAAGUUCUGCUCACAAAGUGGGUAUCAGUUACCUGGAGUAUAUAGUAAAAGUCACUCAAAAUGUUGGGCAAUGAUUCAGAACCUAUUACAUGAACUCCAUACCUGUACUCAUGUCACAUGCUCAGGUGUAACAAAUGUAAAGAAAUUUUGAAAUUAGUCACAUAGUGGAGGGUUUCAAAGUAGAAUAAUUUUAGUUCAUGUGAAAUACUAGGUUAUUGAUUGUGAAGACCGUUUUAAUAGUUCCAGUUACAGCCAUAUAAAUGCUAGUAUAAAAUUUGCAUGAUGCAAUUUACUCAACUGGCAUACUGCUAAUGAACCAAUUCUUUUAGUAUAAGACACUAACCUGUCAAUUUUGAUUGUGCCGUUACAAUUCCACAAAUAAUGCAACACUUCAUACAUUUGUUAAUAUACUUUUCUUUUGUGUAAUUCAUAUUAAAUGUUCAUAAAAGAAUUUACUAUAAGAUGCAGUUCAAGCACAAAAGAACCUCAUAUUCAAAUAGACAAGUGAAAUAAGUUAGAUGAGAAACUUGUAGUAGAAUGUUAGUUAACAAAUCUGGUAAUACAUUGAAAAGACUCAUUAAUUCUUUGACUAAAACAAUAAAUAAUAAAUGACUGAUUUAUGGAAAAAAAUAAAUACUAAUUGCUUUUCAUCAUAUUGUUUAAGGAUGUUAAAUUGUUGCAGUCAGAUCUAUUGAAGUAAAGUGAAAGUAGGUUGUAUUUCAUUUUGCAGCAGUGAUUAUAUUUUUUGAUGUAAAUUUUAAGGGAAUAUGUUGAUGGGAACAAGGAUUUGAACUGCUGUGAAUAAUAGUAUUGGCUCAUAUUUCAUUUUUUUAGGACUCAAUACAAAUAUUACAUUACCUAUGUACCAGUUUCACUCAUUAUGUAAUUCUCUUUAAUUUUUGCUCACAAAUAUAGAUGAAAUUUUACUUCUAGUCUUGGCUAAAUUUUAAAUAUUUUUAUAGACAGAUAUCUUUCUCAUCAAUAUAUCUUAAAGAUGAAGAAAAACUUAAGCAAUAAUGUCUCCUGCCUAAAAAAACUCAGUUAUCUAACCCAAUUUAAAUGGCUUAAAAUCUCACCCUUGUAACUGAAAAAUAGUUUACCUAUAAAGAGUCAAUUCACUUUCUUUUGUAAUAGCUUUUCCAAACUACAAUCAAAUAAGUUAAUUAUAAGGAGCAGGUUCUUUAUUUUAAUAUGAAUUUCUUGAAAGGUAAACACAGUCAACCACCAUUCUAACUUAUUGUUUUAUUAGUUUCAACUUCUUCAACCCUAGUUAAAACCGAAACAGAGUUUUAUUUUUUCAUCUCGUACAGAAAGAAAUGUUUAAUAGAUCCCACCUAUCCAAAUUGUAAAAUAAUUUCAGCUCCAUCAUUAAUCACAAUCAAAAUUUCUAUCAUAAUGGAAAAGAAAAUAAUAAAUUUUAAAUUCAAAACCUAUUGUAUAUUCUUUGUCAAUGUAAAUAAUAGAGAGAACACUGUUUGAAGAUGUUGAAUAAAGAUAAGGCAAGAAGAAUAGAAUAG